UUUUUUUUUUGCGGUUUGUACCCACUUGUCUUCUAUUAGGACCAACAAAAAGUACCAGCAGCCGCAAAUAAAAAAUGCCCAGGAGGACUCGAACUAGCAGAGGCUGCACCUAGCAAAUCGCCCUGCGGGCUACUAGUGAUUUUUAUAAAAAUCGCCCCGAGGACUCGAACUAGAAACACCAAAGUGGAUUUCCGACAGUAGCAUUCAACAUCCUGAAAAUUUUCGAAACAUUUCUUAAAAUAAUAUAUGAACAAUUUAUAAAUAACGAUUAUAUUUUUUAAACGCAAAUAAUUUAAAAAUUACAAAAACAUUUUUCAAAACAUGUGACACGGUAACAUUUUGUCAAAUACAUGUUUUACAUUUUUCUUAAUACCGAUAAACAUUUCAUAAAACUAUACAAACAAUAUUUUUACAUUGUUUAAUUUUUUAAAUGUUUUGGUGAGGUUUUAAAAUUUGUUCCCAUUUUAAAAAAUAUGUUUCAAAUAGUGUCCAGUUUUUCAAAACUGAUUGUGUUUUUUUUAAAAAAAAUUGUUUUUUAUAAAAUUAUUCAGAAUUUUCAUAAAGUGUUUCCACUUUAAAAAAGGAUAGUUCAAAAAAAAUUCGGGGGUGCACGUUCUUAAUAUUUGUUUGCUCUUCAAAAAUUGCCUCAAAUCUCGACACUGCUCUAUCUGGUUUAAUUGUUUGGGCCUCCUAGUAUACUGACAACAACCAAUGGUUCUAUUGGCUAGUGGGACUAAUUCAGCAGCGGCAGGUCGCAAGUUCGAAUCGUUGUUUUAUCUUGCUUCACAAAUGGUAUUUUUGCCUCGCGUUUUACGAAGAAAAAAAACUCAUUUUCUCUUUGUUGGGCCGGCCCAGUCGUAACAACUGACAACAAACCUGGGAUUCGACCUGCCACGUGUAUAAUCCAUGUUUGGGAGAGAGCGCGCCGGUUUCGCGGUCUGGCGCUCGAAGCGCACGCGUUACUGGGCCGGCCCAGGUGAGCUUCGACCGAAAACCACUACGCGAAAAAAUUGCGAAAGCUGGGUUUCGCCGGUUUCGCGGUCUGGCGCUCGAAGCGCACGUGUUACUGGACCGGCCCAGGUGAGCUUCGACCGAAAACCACGACGCGAAAAAAAAUUGCGAAAUCUGGGUUUCGAACUCAGGAGCACACUUCUUUUUGUUUGACGCGAGAACCACUAGAGCAAACACGUUUUGCUGUUCCAUAGCUAGGAAAGAGUGGUACUUAACUGUUAUUCAGUGAAAACAUUAACGUAAAAUCUGAAAAUUAGUUGAAAAGUUCAUUGAUUCUGCAAAAUAAGUUCAUCGAUCUUGAAAACUAGUUCAUCAUUUUCUUUAAAGUUCACAAAAUUUUAAAAAGUUUCAUCGAUUUUGAAAAAGAGUUCAUUGAUUUUGAAAAAAGUUCAUCGAUUUUGAAAAAAAGUUCAUGUUCAUCAAUUUGAAAAAAAAGUUCAUGGAAUUUGGGAAAAAAUGUUCAUCGAAUUUGAAAAAAGUUCAUCGAAUAUGGAAAAAGUUCGUCGAAUAUGGAAAAAGUUCAUCGAAUUUGGAAAAAAAAUCAUCGGAUUUGAAAAAUGUUCAUUGAUUUUGAAAAAAUAGUUCAUUGAAUUUGAAAAAAGUUCAUCAAAUUUGAAAAUAAGUUCAUCAAUUUUGAUAAAAGUUCAUCAAGAUUGAAAAAGUUCACAAAUUUGAAAAAAGUUCAUUAAAUUUGAAAAAAGUUCAUCAAAUUUGAAAAUAAGUACAUCGAUUUUGAUACAAGUUCAUUGAAUUUGAAAAAAGUUCAUCAAAAUUGAAAUAAAGUUCACGAAUUUAAUAAAAAUUUGGCGCAUUUAAGAAAAAGAAAAAAAAAUAGAAAAGAAACAUGAAAAAGGAACAAGAAAAAAGACGCCCAGAAGCUGACCAGCGAACGACCUAGAUAUAUUAAAAAUAAAAGAAAGAAGUGUUCGGCCAUAGGCGUGUUGUUAUCCUGGUGGUAAGUGAGCUCCACUUUCAAUCAAGUGAUCCAGUGUUCGAUCCCUCGCUAGUGCACAUUAAUUUUUGCUCUAGUUUCAAUAGGAAAAAAAACGAAACGGGCCGGCGCGGGGGUGUGCGCCCGGUUGCGCUCUCAAAGUUGAAAUAGACCAGGAUCAAAGAGUUUGGUGUGCUAAGUUUCGGGAUUACAAGUUUGGAAUUCAAUUUAGAUUUCGUCUACAAGUUCAAAGUUUAUUUUGAACUUUUUCCUUCCAUUUUUGAUGCACGGAUCCGAUCGGAAAUCACAAAGUCCACGACACCGUGACCUGAACUCCUGAUGAAGGUCGUUCGUUUUGGCAAGAUUUUGUCUACCUGGCUCGCUGCUGACCACCAGGUUUGGCAAGUUCGUUGGUUUUCCAUUGAAGAUCCGGGUUGCAAUUGCAACUCGGCUCACUAGGCCUUUAUCUUCAAUAUGAACUACGCACGUAUUUUAGUGUAUAUUCAUUCAUUUUGCUUCAUAUGUACCUCAUAUUGAAUUCUCUAAAAAAGAGUUAUAUUUAUAAACGGNNNNNNNNNNNNNNNNNNNNNNNNNNNNNNNNNNNNNNNNNNNNNNNNNNNNNNNNNNNNNNNNNNNNNNNNNNNNNNNNNNNNNNNNNNNNNNNNNNNNNNNNNNNNNNNNNNNNNNNNNNNNNNNNNNNNNNNNNNNNNNNNNNNNNNNNNNNNNNNNNNNNNNNNNNNNNNNNNNNNNNNNNNNNNNNNNNNNNNNNNNNNNNNNNNNNNNNNNNNNNNNNNNNNNNNNNNNNNNNNNNNNNNNNNNNNNNNNNNNNNNNNNNNUUUUUGAAAAGGUGGAAUACCCCUGAUCUAUGAAUCAAAGCGAUGCAUAUAGCCAUUUUAUCAUAUUACUAGAACAAAGAGGCGUGCGUUGCUGCGCUCGUCCAUUUCAAUAAGGAAUGAUAGAAAUAAUAAAAAACUGAACAUAAAGGUAUAGGCGAGAUUCAAAUUAUACCACCUUAACACAAAACCACGAGACAACUUGUGAUUGAAACCCUGUAUAGAUUCUAUCUUUUCAUGCAGCAUAUACUCCCUCCGUCCGGAAAUACUUGUCAUCAAAAUGGAUAAAAGGGGAUGCAUCUGGACGUAUUUUAGUUCUAGAUACAUCUCUUUUUAUCCAUUUUGAUGACAAAUAUUUUCAGACAGAGGGAGUAGAAAAUAUGACAAUCCGGACACUACACCAUGCAUCCACAUGAUAAAAAGCAAAAAUGUACAUCCGACAAGAACAAAAGCAUAUAAGCUGGAUGGUUUAACAUUAAAGUGGAUGCACAUACACAUUUCCUUACUGAUAUAGCUAGAAAAUAUGGUAUUGUUAUGUUUAAUAUGAUAAGGAGAAAAAACAUCACAUGUGGAGAUUUCCCUGCCUUGGCGCCUUUGGCAAUUGUAGCAUUGACAGGAGGUGGUGCUUGAAACUGAGGCAGCAGGAAGCACAUACAUAACCCAUGGGGAGAGGAUAAGCAAGGCAAAAGAGAAGUUAAUUAAGAAACUAAUAUUACUCUUUUGGCUGGCACAUGUUCAGCUAUGAUAGUCUCAUUGACGACAUCUGAGGAUAUUAUAAAAAUGUGUAGAUAUACAAAAUGAUGUGAAAUGCAUUUGCAAAGGCAAAAUACGAUGUAGCCCAGCGGAGCAGAGGUGAGGGAAUUGUUCUCAUUUGAGGAGAGUCAACCUGCAAAUCAUCAACUACUUUUGCGUCAAGGUAAAAUUAAAAAUCUAUACAUCACAGGUGAAAUUGUGAGUUUAACAACAUAUGAAUAAAUAUUAUAAUCUAAUUAAUAGUAACAGAUAUGAAUAAAGUAUUCUAGAAAAACAUGUAUGAAUACUGAAGCAUGCCAUCAAUAGUGUAGAACAUGGAAGAGACAUUCGAGUAUAGGCAUUAGUGGUCGAGCUAUAAGAUAUCUAGUGAAGAAACGACUUAGCAAUUGGGAACCUGCAGUAUUAAGUAAUGUAAUGAGAACAAAGCCUACUUGAUUUUCGUUGAUGACAUUUGUUCUAUCCAUAGAAUUCUGCUUCUGAGAUGUGUCGGACACUGAAAAAUGCAGCAAUCAAAUUACUACAACUAAAGAAACUACUGGUCUGAUAGCUGGGUAGUACUACUAUUUUGCAUGGAUCGGAUCUGUAUAUUAAAAUGGGCAUUGCAAAGGAAGCUCUGUGAGUUGAGAGGGAUUAGAUGACAAUUUGAACAAGCUUCUGUGGGCGGAGGAGAUGGUGACUGCGGCAACCACCAGCUUCAUUGCAUCUCCUUUGCCAAACGCGCUUCACUGCACCGCCAGAGCGUGUCCACCGCACACCCUCGUCGUUGGGAAGGGAGGAUUGGAGGAACAGCGAGAUCGACAACAAGAACAUGCUUCCGUGGGGCACCUGCGUCGCCGGGAAGGGGAGGUUGAGCAUCCUGAAGGCGGGCCAAGGAGCAGCUAUCGUCCCCAUUGGCGGACUGUGAAGCGGAGACGAUGCUCCAAUGCUGAGGUAGCGAGGAAACAAUCCUGCGAAGGAGGAGAGACUACAGAGGCCCUAUGCGCACGUCGAGGAGGAUGGCUGACUGAGUCAUGCCGAACCGAACGCCGCCGCCGCCACAGGGAAGGUAAAGGUGAGGAGACGCCCGGUUCCUCAACACGGGCUUGCGAAAGAGAAGAGAUUUCCCAACCCAAUUUGGCCCGAUAAAUGACAUGAAGCCCAGGUAACUCUGCGGAGCAGCUACCCAAGAGACGAAUGCAGAUGGCCAGACGAUGUGCGACAGAUGAAAUCGAAUGGCCAACGAAUCAAAGCGCUAUGGUGCCUCGUAGCUCGCCCCAUUAUACUGUUUCUUAAUUGCACAGAACCCAACAAAAGAAAUAUAUGGAUCAGUCUGAAGCCACCUUCCUAACAACUACUGUCGCUACACUUACAAUCUUGAUGAUGUUCCUGACCGCAUAUCAACACACUACAUCUAUUCCGAUGGCCUCAACAAGCCGCCCGUUGGCAGUCCGAGAGAACCAACGGGUCUAAGUAGACCCUCUACACGCACAACAUGUGCACCCUUUAGGAUUAGUUGCUUCCAUGUUUCGUCGUCCAACCUUAAGGAGUGAUAAACGUGACUCCUUGCUGCAAUGAUGGACCACUGAAUCAGGUGCCACAAACAAGCAUGGAUAUGUCUUGCCACAUUUAAAUUCAGGUUCAAGUGUUCAAGCAUGGAUAGUAGUUAAUGUUUUCUCUGAUAUAAAUCUGGUGUUUGUUCUAUUUUUAUUUGACAUAUCCAGUCAUUUAACCUGCUCUGAUUCUGACCUAUUAUUGUUUACAUUGUUCUAGAGAGUUAGUCCACGAGUUUAUUCUCCAAAGAUUGUGGCGAGCUCCCCGGGGGUCAAUAUGUUAGCAAGAUCAGCUGCAUUGAAGAGGGUGUCAUCGGCGGUGAGGCACGCUUCCGCAAAAAGAGCAAAGUUAGCAGAUCAACUAGAGACACCUGCUUCACAGCGGACGCCGCUACAGAACACCCCUUCACUUCAAAAUCUAUCUCUUGCAGCAAGAAGACCUAGUUCACAUGGUAAGAUUUGCUUCCGGAUAUUCCUAUGGUCGACUUUGUAGAGUAACACGAGAUGCCUCUAAAUAUUCAUCCUCUAUGUUUAAGCCUUUAAGGUGUUCUUUUCUCAUGCAUGCAGGGUCAAAGCGUAGACGCCGCAAGCUAACAUCUGGCAUUUGGGAGGAGGCCGAGCCAUUCUAUGAUGGUCGAAUGCUUGUGGAAGGCCAGUGUAUGUCAACAAUUUUUUCCGGCCACACGAGACAGUGGGACCAGCCACUUACAUCGGCACUUGAAGGUAUGCCCAAUGAAAACUGCAAUGAAUGAAAUGAUUGACAAGUUGGGUCCUCCUGAGGUGGUAGAUCCUAAUUGGAAAUUUGAUCCUAAAGUCUCACGGUUUGAAUUAGUCAAGUUGAUUGUUGUGAAUGAAUUGUCGUUCUCUCUCGCGGAGUACAAACCAUUUUGGGACUUUGUUACUUCCUUAAAUCUGUGGUUCAAAGUACCCUAUAGAACAACUGCCAAAGAUGAUUGCGUGGCAAAUUUUAAGAGAAACAGACAAAACAUGCAGCAAUAUUUUGAGAAGUCUACAAGUAGAGUAUCUUUGACCGCUGAUAUGUGGACGUCCAACCAAAAAUUAGGUUAUAUUUGCGUCACUUGUCACUUGAUUGAUUCAGAUUGGAGGAUUCAAAAAUUUGUCAUAAGAUUCUUCAUGAUGGAGACACCCCAUAAUGCUAUGAACAUGUAUGGUGUGAUACUAAAGACUAUUCAAGAUUUGAAUUUAGAGGAUAAGCUAUUUGGUUUUACGUUAGACAACGCACCGGUGAAUACCGCGAUGAUAAACCUCUUAAGAGAGAAUUUGUUCAAAAAAAGGUUGUCUUCUCUUGAAAGGGAAAUUGCUUCAUUGUCGAUGUGCUCCUCACGUCUUCAACUUAAUGGUUCAAGAUGCUCUUCUCGCAAUGAAAUCUAUGGUCAACAACAUUCGGGAAUCUGUUCAAUUCGUAAAGAGUUCGCAAUCAAGAGGCCAAAAAUUUCAAGAGAUAAUCAAUCAAGUGGGGUGUUGUUUUAGUAGGCAGCCUUAAGUAGAUGUACAAUGCGUUGGAAUUCCACAUAUUUGAUGCUUGAAUCAGCUAUUCCAUUUAGAAGUGCAUUUGAUGCCUUAGGGCAGCAAGACAAGGACUACGAGUUUUGUCCAACACCUAUUGCAUGGAACAUGGCUGAAUCUGCAUGCAAAUUGCUAAAAGGAUUUUACACAGCAACCAAUCUUCUCUUUGGGUCAAAGUAUCCGACUAGUCAUCUCUACUUCCCUCAACUAUGUAAGAUUAAGAAGAUCUUGAAGAGAGAGUCAUGAAGUAAGAACAACAACAUUAUGCUUAUGGUGCAGCAAAUGGAAAUAAAGUUAGAGAAGUAUUGGAAUGAGUCCUUUAAGUCAAUUUGUGUUCCGGUCGUAUUUGAUCCAAGGUUUAAGUUUGAUCUCCUUGAAUAUAUGUUAGAAGACUUUGGAAGUGAAAUGAAGCCAAUUAAUGGAUGCUUAAAUUAAAGAAAGCCAUCCAAAAGCUUUUCGAUGAGUACUGUUGAGAGAUUCCUAUUCAUCACCAACAAGAAGAUUGUGGGAGUCCUCGUGGCGAGGAGGAUGAAGACGACGAUGAUCCACUUGCAGAGUGGGAUCAUUAUAUCAGUUGCAAAAAAAAGGUCAAGCAAAUAAUGAGCUGGAUCGGUAUUUGAAAGAGGAGUUGUAUCCACGGAAGAAAGAGUUGGACAUAUUAGAAUGGUGGAAAAUAAACUCUCCCAAGUAUCCGGUACUCUCUACGAUUGCUCGCAACAUAUUGGCUAUUUCGGUUUCCACAGUGCCUUUCGAGUCUGCUUUUAGUUCUGCAGGACGCAUUGUCAGCGACUAUAGGAGCAGUGUUUCUUGCUCCACCGUCGAAGCUUUGAUUUGCCUACAAGACUGGCUGAGAACUGCUGGUUAGUAAGGUUUUCUUUUAUUGUUCACAAAAAUUGAUAACCAUAGUUAAUCUAAUAAUUUAUGUGUUUUGUGUUUUGCAGAUCCAGAAAAAUACAAAGGCGUAUGAUACGUCUACAACGUAUCUAUAAUUUUUGAUUGUUCCAUGCUAUUAUAUUACCCCUUUUGAAUGUUUAUGGGCUUUAUUUUACACAUUUAUAUCGUUUUUGGGACUAACCUACUAGCCGGAGGCCCAGCCCGUAUUGCUGUUUUUUUGCCUAUUUCAGUAUUUCGAAAAAAAGGAAUAUCAAACGGAGUCCAAACGGAAUGAAACCUUCGGGAGCGUGAUUUUUGGAACGAACGUGAUCCAGAGGACUUGGAGUACAUGUCAAAAAGCAAACGAGGCGGCCAGGAGAUAGGAUGGCGCGCCCACCCCUCCUGGGCGCGCCCCGUGUCUCCUGGGCCCCUUGAACGGCCACUGACGUACUUCUUCCUCCUAUAUAUACCUACGUACCCCGAAAACAUCCAGGGAGCCAACAAAAAAUAAUUUCCACCGCCAUAACCUUAUGUAUCCGCGAGAUCCCAUCUUGGAGCCUUCGUCGGCGCUCCGCCGGAGGGGGGAAUCGAUCACUGAGGGCUUCUACAUCAACACCAUAGCCCCUCCGAUGAGUUUUGAGUAGUUUACCACAGACCUUCGGGUCCAUAGUUAUUAGGUAGAUGGCUUAUUCUCUCUUUUUGGAUCUCAAUACAAUUUUCUCCCCCUCUCUUGUGGAGAUCUAUUCGAUGUAAACUCUUUUUGCGGUGUGUUUGUCGAGAUUCGAUGAAUUGUGGGUUUAUGAUCAAGUUUAUCUAUGAGAAAUAUUUGAAUCUUCUCUGAAUUCUUUAUGUAUGAUUGAGUUAUCUUUGCAAGUCUCUUCGAAUUAUCAAUUUGGUUUGGCCUACUAGAUUGAUCUUUCUUGCCAUGCGAGAAGUGCUUAGCUUUGGGUUCAAUCUUGCGGUGUCCUUACCCAGUGACAGCAGGGGUUGCAAGGCACGUAUUGUAUUGUUGCCAUCAAGGAUAAAAAGAUGGGGUUUAUAUCAUAUUGCUUGACUUUAUCCCUCUACAUCAUGUCAUCUUUCUUAAUGCGUUACUCUGUUCUUAUGAACUUAAUACUCUAGAUGCAUGCUGGAUAGCGGUCGAUGUGUGGAGUAAUAGUAGUAGAUGCAGGCAGGAGUCGGUCUACUUGUCGUCGACGUGAUGCCUAUAUACAUGAUCAUGCCUAGAUAAUCUCAUAAUUAUUCGCUUUCCUAUCAAUUGAUCGACAGUAAUUUGUUCACCCACCGUAAUACUUAUGCUAUCUUGAGAGAAGCCACUAGUGAAACCUAUCGCCCCCGGGUCUAUCUUUUAUCAUAUAAGCUUUCAAUCUACUUUUAUUUGCAUCUUUACUUUUUGCAUCUAUAUUAUAAAAUACCAAAAAUAUAUUUAUCUUAUCAUACUAUCUCUAUCAGAUCUCACUUUCGCAAGUGGUCGUGAAGGGAUUGACAACCCCUUUAUUGCGUUGGUUGCGAGUUCUUUGUUUGUUUGUGUAGGUGUGUGGGACUUUUGAGGAGCCUCCUACUGGAUUGAUACCUUGGUUCUCAAAAACUGAGGGAAAUACUUACGCUACUAUUGCAGCAUCACCCUUUCCUCUUUAAGGAAAACCAACACAAGCUCAAGACAUAGCAAGAAGGAUUUCUGGCGCCGUUGCCGGGGAGGUCUUCGCUCAAGUCAAGACAUACCAAGUACCCAUCACAAACUCAUCUCCCUCGCAUUUACAUUAUUUGCCAUUUUCCUCUCGUUUUCCUGUCCCCCACUUCACCCUUGCCGUUUUAUUUGCCCUCUCUUUCCCAAUCUUAUUCUCUCUCUUUCGCUUGCCUUUUUCUGUUUGCUUGUGUGUUGGAUUACUUGUUGCCAUGGCGCAAGAUAAUACCAAAUUGUGUGAUUUCCCCAAUACCAAUAAUAAUGAUUUCCUUAGUACUCCGAAUGCUCCUCUUAAUGAUGUUGAGUCUUGUGAAAUCAAUACUGCUUUGCUGAAUCUUGUUAUGAAAGAUCAAUUCGCCGGCCUUCCUAGUGAAGAUGCUGCUACCCAUCUAAACAACUUUGUUGAUUGGUGUGAUAUGCAAAAGAAGAAAGAUACGGAUAAUGAUAUAGUUAAAUUGAAGUUAUUUCCGUUUUCACUUAGAGAUCAUGCUAAAGUUUGGUUUUCGUCUUUGCCUAAAAAUAGUAUUGAUUCUUGGAACAAGUGCAAAGAUGCUUUUAUCUCUAAGUAUUUUCCUCCCACUAAGAUCAUCACUCUUAGGAACAAUAUUAUGAAUUUUAAGCAACUUGAUCAUGAGCAUGUUUCCCAAUCUUGGGAAAGAAUGAAAUUGAUGAUUCGCAAUUGCCCUACUCAUGGUUUGAAUUUAUGGAUGAUCAUACAAAAUUUUUAUGCCGGGUUGAACUUUACUUCUAGAAAUCUUUUAGAUUCAGCCGCAGGAGGCACGUUUAUGGAAAUCACGUUAGGAGAUGCUACAAAACUUCUUGAUAAUAUUAUGGCUAAUUAUUCUCAAUGGCACACCAAAAGAUCUUCUAGUAAAAAAGUGCAUGCUAUAGAAGAAAUCAAUGUUUUGAGCGGAAAGAUGGAUGAACUUAUGAAAUUAUUUGCUACUAAAAAUACUCCUCUUGAUCCCAAUGAUAUGCCUUUGUCUACUUUGAUUGAGAAUAAUAAUGAAUCUAUGGAUGUGAAUUUUGUUGGUAGGAAUAGUUUUGGAAACAAUGAUUAUAGAGGAAACUCUAAUUCUAGACCGUUCCCUAGUAAUUCCUCUAAUAAUUAUGGAAAUUCCUACAAUAAUUUUUAUGGUAAUUUUAAUAAGAUGCCCUCUGAUUUUGAGAAUAGUUUAAAAUAAUUUAUGAUUUCUCAAAAGAAUUUUAAUGCUUUGCUUGAAGAAAAAUUGCUCAAAGUUGAUGAUUUGGCUAGGAACGUUGAUAGACUUUUGCUUGAUGCUGAUUCUCUUAAACUUAGAUCUACUCCUCCUAAGCAUGAUAUCAAUGAGUCUCUUAAAUCAAUGAGAAUUUCCAUUGAUGAGUGCAAGGAAAUAACCGCUAGAUUGCGUGCUAAAAAAGAUUGCUUUGUAAAGGCGUGUUCUUCUAGUUUCCAUGAAAAUAAUGAUGAAGAUCUUAAAGUUAUUGAUGUGUCUCCUAUGAGAUCUUUGUUUUGCAAUAUGAAUCUUGAUAAUAAUGGGAUUGGAGAUGAGUCAACUUUAGUUAGAAGGCGUCCCAAUAAUUCGAAGUUUUUAGAUCUUGAUGCUAAAUUUGGUAAAAGUGGGAUUGGAGAGGUCAUGACUUUAAAUAGCAUUGAACCCACUAUCUCGGAUUUCAAGGAAUUUGAUUAUGAUAAUUGUUCUUUAGAAGGUUGUAUUUCCUUGUUGCAAUCCGUUGUUUAUUCUCCUCAUGCUUAUAAUCAAAAUAAAGCUUUUACCAAACAUAUUGUUGAUGCCUUGAUGCAGUCUCAUGAUGAAAAACUUAAUUUGGAAGUUUCUAUACCUAGAAAACUUAAUGAUGAGUGGGAACCUACUAUAAAGAUUAAAAUUAAAGAUCAUGAGUGUUUUGCUUUGUGUGAUUUGGGUGCUAGUGUUUCCAUGAUUCCGAGAACUUUAUGUGACAUUCUAGGUUUCCAUGAUCUUGAUGAUUGCUCUUUAAAUUUGCACCUUGCGGAUUCCACCAUUAAAAAGCCAAUUGGAAGAAUCAAUGAUGUUCUCAUUAUUGCAAAUAGAAAUUUGGUGCCCGUAGAUUUUAUCGUUCUUGAUAUAGAUUGCAAUCUUUCUUGCCCUAUUAUUCUUGGUAGACCUUUCCUUAGAACGAUUGGCGCGAUUAUUGAUAUGAAGGAAGGGAAUAUUAGAUUCCAAUUUCCAUUAAGGAAAGGCAUGGAGCACUUUCCAAGAAAGAAAGUUAAAUUACCUUAUGAAUCUAUCAUGCGAUCUACUUAUGAAUUGAGUGCCAAAGAUGGCACUACUUAGAUCUAUCUUCGCUUUUAUGCCUAGCUAGGGGCGUUAAACGAUAGCGCUAGUUGGGAGGCAACCCAAUUUUAUUUGUGUUUUUUGUUUUUGUUUCUGUUUAGUAAUAACUUUUGCAUCUACCUUCUGUUUAGAUGUGUUUUUAUGUUUUAAUUAGUGUUUGUGCCAAGUAGAACCUAUAGAAUAACCUACGGUGAUAGUUAAUUUGAUUCUGCUGAAAAACAGAAACUUUGCACGCACAAAAUUAAUUUUGUUAAAUCACAGAAACGUGCUUUUGCAUUGAUUCGUUUUGCUUCUGAUCAAUAGAAAAAUUGUCAGGACUUUCUAUUUUUGUAGGAUUUUUAGAGUUCCAUAAGUUUGCGUUAGUAACAGAUUGCUACAGAUUGUUCUGUUUUUGACAGAUUCUGUUUUUCGUGUGUUGUUUGCUUAUUUUGAUGCAUCUAUGGCUAGUAAAAUAGUUUAUAAACCAUAGAGAAGUUGGAAUACAGUAGGUUUAACACCAAAAUAAAUAAAGAAUGAGUUCAUUACAUUACCUUAUGUGUUGGUUUUGUUUUCUUUCACUAACGGAGCUUAUAAGAUUUCCUGUUGAGUUUUGUGUUGUGAAGUUUUCAAGUUUUGGGUAAGAUUUGAUGGACUAUGGUAUAAGGAGUGGCAAAAGCCUAAGUUUGGGGAUGCCCAAGGCACCCCAAGAUAUUAAAGAAUAUCCAGAAGCCUAAGCUUGGGGAUGCCCCGGGAAGGCAUCCCCUCUUUCGUCUUUGUUCAUUGGUAACUUUACUUGGAGCUAUAUUUUUAUUCGCCACAUGAUAUGUGUUUUGCUUGGAGCGUCGUGUAUAAUAUUAGUAUUUUCUUUUUAGUUUACCACAAUCAUCCUUGCUGUACACACCUUUUGGGAGAAGCCUACUUGAUUAGAAUUUAUUAGAAUACUCUAUGUACUUCACUCAUAUCUUUUGAGCUAGAUAGUUUUUGCUCUAGUGCUUCACUUAUAUCUUUUAGAGCACAGCGGUGGCUUAAUUUUGUAGAAAUUGCUAGUCUCUUAUGCUUCACUUAUAUUAUUUUGAGAGUCUCUUAGAAUAGCAUGGUAUUUGCUAUGGUUAUAAAAUUGGUCCUAGAAUGGUAGGCAUCCAAGUUGGGUAUAAUAAAAACUUAAUUAUCAAGUGAAUUGGAUGCUAUGAUCAAUUUGAUACUUGAUAAUUGUUUUUAGAUAUGGAGAUAGUGAUAUUAAAGUUAUGCUAGUUGGGUGAUUAUAAAUUUAAAGAAUGCUUGUGUUGAAGUUUGUGAUUCCCGUAGCAUGCACAUAUGGUGAACCGCUUUGUGAUGAAGUUGGAGCACAAUUUUAUUUAUUGAUUGUCUUCCUUAUGAGUGGCGGCCGAGGACAAGCAAUGGUCUUUUCCUACCAAUCUAUACCCCUAGGAGCAUGCGCGUAAUUCUUUGUUUUUUGAUGACUUGUAGAUCUUUGCAAUAAGUAUAUGCGUUCUUUCGACUAAUGUUGAGUCCAUGGAUUAUACGCACUCUCACCCUUCCACCAUUGCUAGCCUCUCUUGUAUCGCGCAACUUUUGCCGGUACCAUACACCGACCAUAUACCUUUCUCAAAACAGCCAUUAUACCUACCUAUUAUGGCAUUUCCAUAGCCAUUCUGAGAUAUAUUGUCAUGCAACUUUCCAUCGUUCUGUUUAUAUGACACGCAUCAUCAUUGUCAUAUUGCUCUUUGCAUGAUCAUGUAGUUGACAUCGUAUUUGUGGGAAGGCCACCUUCAUAAUUUUCAUACAUAUCGCUCUUGAUUCAUUGCAUAUCCCGGUACACCGCUGGAGGCAUUCAUAUAGAGUCAUAUCUUGUUCUAAGUUUUGAGUUGUAAUUCUUGAGUUGUAAGUAAAUAAAAGUGAUGGUCUUCAUUAUUAGAGCAUUGUCCCAGUGAGGAAAGGAUGAUGAAGACUAUGAUUCCCCCACAAGUCGAAUGAGACUUCGGACUUUACAAAAAAAAGAAAAAAAGAAAAAAAGGAGAAAGGCCAAAAAGAAAAAAAAGAAAGGCCAAAGAAAAAAAAGAAAAAAAGAAAAGAAAGAAAAAAGAAAAAAAAAGAAAUGAGAGAAAAAGAGAGAAGGGACAAUGCUACUAUCUUUUUUCCACACUUGUGCUUCAAAGUAGCACCAUGAUCUUCAUGAUAGAGAGUCUCCUAUGUUGUCACUUUCAUAUACUAGUGGGAAUUUUUCAUUAUAGAACUUGGCUUGUAUAUUCCAAUGAUGGGCUUCCUCAAAAUGCUCUAGGUCUUCGUGAGCAAGCGAGUUGGAUGUACACCCACUUAAUUUCUCUUGUUGAGCUUUCAUACAUUUAUAGCUCUAGUGCAUCCGUUGCAUGGCAAUCCCUACUCACUCACAUUGAUAUCUAUUAAUGGGCAUCUCCAUAGCCCGUUGAUACGCCUAGUUGAUGUGAGACUAUCUUCUCCUUUUUGUCUUCUCCACAACCACCAUUCUAUUCCACAUAUAGUGCUAUGUCCAUGGCUCCCGCUCAUGUAUUGCGUGAAAGUUGAAAAAGUUUGAGAUUACUAAAGUAUGAAACAAUUGCUUUAUUUGUCAUCGGGGUUGUGCAUGAUUAAAUACAUUGUGUGAUGAAGAUAGAGCAACAGCCAGACUAUAUGAUUUUGUAGGGAUAACUUUCUUUAGCCAUGUUAUUUUGAGAAGACAUGAUUGCUUUGAUUAGUAUACUUGAAGUAUUACUAUUUCUUAUGUCAAUAUGAACUUUUAUUUUGAAUCAUUUGGAUCUGAACAUUCAUGCCACAAUAAAGAAAAUUACAUUGAGAAUUAUGCUAGGUAGCAUUUCACAUCAAAAAAUUUGUUUUUAUCAUUUACCUACUCGAGGACAAGCAGGAAUUAAGCUUGGGGAUGCUUGAUAUGUCUCCAACGUAUCUAUAAUUUUUUAUUAUUCCAUGCUAUUAUAUUACCCCUUUUGGAUGUUUAUGGGCUUUAUUUUACACAUUUAUAUCAUUUUUGGGACUAACCUACUAACCGGAGGCGCAGCCCGUAUUGCUGUUUUUUUUGCCUAUUUCAGUAUUUGAAAGAAAAGGAAUAUCAAACGGAGUCCAAACAGAAUGAAACCUUCGGGAGCGUGAUUUUUGGAACGAACGUGAUCCAGAGGACUUGGAGUGCAAAUCAAGAAGCAUCGAGGCGGACAGGAGAUAGGAGGGCGCGCCCACCCCUCCUGGGCACGCCCCUGUCUCCUGGGCCCCUCGAGCGGCCACCGACGUACUUCUUCCUCCCAUAUAUACCUACGUACCCCGAAAACAUCCAAGGAGCCAAUGAAAAACAAUUUCCACCACUGUAACCUUCUCUAUCCGUGAGAUCCCAUCUUGGAGCCUUCGCUGGCGCUCCGCCGGAGGGGGAAUCGACCAUUGAGGGCUUCUACAUCAACACCAUAGCCCCUCCGAUGAGUUGUGAGUAGUUUACCACAGACCUUCGGGUUCAUAGUUAUUAGCUAGAUGGCUUCUUCUCCCUUUCUGGAUCGCAAUACAAUGUUCUCCCCCUCUCUUGUGGAGAUCUAUUCAUGUAAACUCUUUUUGCGGUGUGUUUGUCGACAUCCGAUGAAUUGUGGGUUUAUGAUCAAGUUUGUCUAUGAGAAAUAUUUGAAUCUUCUCUGAAUUCUUUUAUGUAUGAUUGAGUUAUCUUUGCAAGUCUCUUCGAAUUAUCAGUUUGGUUUGGCCUACUAGAUUGAUCUUUCUUGCCAUGGGAGAAGUGCUUAGCUUUGGGUUCAAUCUUGCGGUGUACUUACCCAGUGACAGCAGGGGUUGCAAGGCACGUAUUGUAUUGUUGCCAUCGAGGAUAAAAAGGUGGGGUUUAUAUCAUAUUGCUUGAGUUUAUCCCUCUACAUCAUGUCAUAUUUCUUAAUGCUUACUCUGUUCUUAUGAAUUUAAUACUCUAGAUGCAUGCUGGAUAGCGGUCGAUGUGUGGAGUAAUAGUAAUAGAUGCAGGAAGGAGUUGGUCUACUUGUCCCGGACGUGAUGCCUAUAUACAUGAUCAUGCCUAGAUAAUCUCAUAAUUAUUUGCUUUUCUAUCAAUUGCUCGACAGUAAUUUGUUCACCCACCAUAAUACUUAUGCUAUCUUGAGAGAAGACACUAGUUAAACCUAUGGCCCCCGGGUCUAUCUUUUAUCAUAUAAGCUUUCAAUCUACUUUUAUUUGCAUCUUUACUUUUUGCAUCUAUAUUAUAAAAUACCAAUAAUAUAUUUAUCUUAUCAUACUAUCUCUAUCUGAUCUCACUUUUGCAAGUGGCCGUGAAGGGAUUGAUAACCCCUUUAUUGCGUUGGUUGCGAGUUCUUUGUUUGUUUGUGUAGGUGCGUGAGACUUUUGAGGAGGCUCCUACUGGAUUGAUACCUUGGUUCUCAAAAAUUGAGGGAAAUACUUACGCUACUAUUGCUGCAUCACCCUUUCCUCUUCAAGGAAAACCAACGCAAGAUCAAGACGUAGCAGUGUAUCAUUAGAGUCAGAGGAAGAAGAUCAAGGUAUAUGUGAUGCCCCUGUGAUAAUCACUGUUUUUUAUCAACUAGUUGUUGGCUGUAUUUGCUGACCUACAAUCUUAAUUUGUACCUACUUUCAUCCUUUGACUGUUAGGCAGCAACACUUGUUUUAUCAUUGUAUCUUGCAUGUAUGUCCAGAUGUCAACACUUGAUGAGUUCAUGUUUUAUUAUUUGACUUGCUUUUCUUUUGGGGGAUUAUGUUGCUUUUAGUAGGAAAGCAAGACCAUGCAUGCCGUAGCGGCGUAGCUUGUAUGGCAAGAAGCCAUGAAAUGGAUUUUGUUGCCCUUUGUUUUCUGAGUUUUAUCACUAUUUCUUGCAUGUAUGUCCAGAUGUCAACACUUGAUGACUUUAUGUUUUAUUAUUUGAUUUUGUUGCCCUUUGUUAUCCUGUAAAAUGGAUUCUUAUGAUGCAGAUGGACUGAUGGACAUAUUUUUUGACAGUAAAUAUGGGUUGCGAGUUUGCUACUCGAAGAAAGGAUGGCGGGUCGAUGGUGAUGGAAGAUCUUGAAGAGCUGGAAAAAAAUUCAUCUUGUUGUAGCCUCUAGUCUAUUGCAAUUGAUCCUGUCUUUAGUCUUAUACUGAAAAUAAAGGAUGGCAGGUUGUAGGCUCCAGUUUUACUGUAAUUCAUAUACUGCUCAACAACAUGUUGUAAUGAUAUGUACUUGUUGUACGUCGGUGCAUGAACAUGAACAAUUGAGUAUUUGUACUAUGCUCAUACAUCACUAUUCAGUAUGCAUGAACAUGAACAGUUGAGUAUUUGUACUAUGCUGCCUGGCAUGCAUGUACUCUGCUGUUAUUUGAGUGCAUGAACAUUAUUUUCAGUCAGGUUGGAUGUGGGUUGCCUGCUAAACCCAGUUAUCCCGUGUAAAAAUAUGUGGGCAGAUGCGGGUCUUCCACUUAUACUAUGCGGCGGAUGUUGGGCGGAUGCGGGCUUCCCGCGGACAGUCCCACUUGCAGUAUGAUUUGUAUGUCUUGUAACUGCACAGUGACAGAUCUCAGGCCUAGAUACUCAACGCGAUCACAGUGGAAAAAACCAAAUCGAUCAAACACUCCACUCUUGAUACAAAGGGAGACAGAGGUUUUGCGACGCGUUCAACUUGCGCCUUUUCUGUUUUUGCUUUCCUUUUAUUCACCCUGAUCCUAUCGAGCCGGCCUCGAUCCGUUUUCUCUGCGCCAUCCCACGGACGAGAUCGUGGCCAACGAUUACACGAUUACAUGAAAAGGUAAAAGCUAGACCUAUUCAGCCGCAGCACGAACACAGCGUGCUUCUGGCCUUAUUCUUCAGAAAAGAAAACAACAUGACAGUUCAGGUCUCCUAGAAUUAAUUCUAACAUUCACCCCUCUAAUCUUGGAGUCCUGAACCUACCAUCUGCAUGCCAAUCUUCUUCUUCAGCUCCUGGAACCGAAUCCUGGCAAGUGACUUGAUGAGAAUGUCUGCAUACUGAUCCUCUGUUCUGACGUGCUCCACUUUUGUCUUGCCUGUUUCCACACAGCUUCUGACAUAGCGGUAACGCACAUAGAUGUGUUUGCUUCGAUCAUGAAACACUGGAUUUUUGCAUAACUGGAUUGCUGACUGAUUAUCAAUCUUUACCUUGAACUUGACUUCAUCACAGCCCAACAAUUCCUCGACAAGCCUGGCCAGCCACACCCCGUGACAAGCCGCAGAAGCAGCAGCUACAUACUCUGGCUCACACGACGAUUGUGCAACAAUCCUUUGUUUUUGUGAUAUACAAGAUACAGGGCACUGUCCAAAAUAAAACAGAACACCUGUAGUACUCUUGCGAUCAUCAAUAUCUCCGGCAUGGUCACUGUCACAAUACCCCAGUAAUGAUGGAGGUUUAUCAGAUUUCCUGAAACUGCAUCCAAGAUUUACUGUACCUUUUACAUAUCUCAAUAUGUUUUUGACAGCCGCCAUGUGUUCCUUUGUAGGUUUCUCCAUAAACCUACUAACAUAUCCAACAAAAUAGCUGAAUUCUGGUCGAGUGUGCAACAGAUACCUGAGGCUACCGACUACACUUCUAUACUCUGUUGGAUCAACCUGCUCUGCCUGACUGUGUUUACUCAGUUUCAGUCUCAGCUCCAUAGGUGUAUGUGUAGGAUUGCAAUUUGACAGGCCCAUCUUCUCUAGGAUACAAGCUGCAUAACCUGACUGACAGAGGGUGAUGCCUUCCUCUCCUUGUUUCACCUCUACUAGAUCGGGACCGCGCCUUGGCGCGAGGGUGACGGUCCAAACAUUUUGGUCAAGUAGGUAAUACCAACUUAGUAGGAAUUCAGGUUUAGCAUAUGCACUCAUACAAAAAAACAAUAAAGUGAAGAAGAAACAUUCAAUCAUGAUAGAAGCAAGACAUAGUGGAGCUUAAUAUCGUCAUCAGAUUACAAGCCAACAUCAAGUAUAAGCCAGCAUGAAGUUCAGAACAUUCAUAAGAGCACAAAGAUAGCCACUCGACAUGAAAUUCGAUACCAAAAGCGAGAAUACAGGAGAGGAAGUAAUAAGACCAAGAACAUAAUAAAGGAGAGCCAACUACGGGGCCAUAACUACUAAACAUACUAAUAAGUGGCUCCAUUCAGCUGCCUUGUCGAUCAACUUCCUUCCAGGAGAGGUAAGGUGAUAAAGUUGAAUUGACCUGCACAGAGAAAUGCAUAUCUUUGUCGGCCGAGCAACCAGUUCCAAGCAAACUUAAUUUUGCACUCGUUAUUCUAUCAAUGCACGAUAGAGAUAAAAAAAUAAUGAAACACAAUGGAAAACCACCAAGCAAGAUAUGAGCAUAAAAGGCACAUUCCAUGAUAGGUUUAGUGGCAAACAUCCCUGACAUAGAGCAUACGACAACACAUGGUAGCUUACAAACAAUCCGCAACUUUCAUAGAUAACUAAAGUCUUAGGCAUAAUGUAGUCUAAUAGGAACAAUGACACGACACGUACAGAAGGAAGUGCAGCAUAUGCACAAGAAGCUGAAACCAGUUCAACAGUCGAACAAAAGGAAGUGCGGCGUUUUUGAAAGAACAAUCUAGUUAAUUAUCAGUUGAAAAUACAAUUUGUUUUAGCAAGAGCGGUCGAUAAGAUAAGAUCUAUUAUCUAUAUGAUCACCUCUUGUUCAAAGAUAGAAAGCUAAUCGUCAUGAUGCUUGGUCUUUCUAAAGAAAAUGUAAUUACAUAUAAGGCCUAUACAACAUCUAGUCAAUUGAGGAAACACCUAUAAAGCUAUUCACUGCACGAAGAACAUGUCAAAGAAAUAGAGUUUAAAUUAUCACACCGCCUAGAUCUAAACAUCACUAUUUCUCUACUACUAUCCGUGAGCACCUAAACAAUCUCUAGAUUAGAUACAUUUACAUCAGUGAGCAUUUUCUUUGAUUCUAACAUUAGCCGAGGCACAUACUGAUCAUAUUUUUCAGUCGUUCAGUAAAAUCAGAGAUGGGACAACACGAUGGAGUUCAGCUGACCUGGGCAAUUGCUCACAGACAGCUGUUCGUGCGGGAAGCGGAACCCGGCAAGCCAUGAACCUGGAGCUCUUCUUCCGCCAUAGUGACCUGAACAGAAUAUAUGGAUCCAAGAAAUCCCCAGAUGUGGGCACCUUUAGAGCUUAGAAGAAAAAGGAACCAUGGAUGUAAUUGAACAUAAGCACAGACUGAACUGGUCGCUGGAGCUGAGUUCCAAAGGGAUAAUCGAAGAGGCGCAACAGAGGUCUGAUCCAAGGCGGCGCCGCCGCGCCGAGAAGACGAUGUAUUCGCAGGAGCAAAGGAAAAUGUCGGAGAGAGAACGUGUAAAUCCUUCUAGGUUUGACCUAUGUAUCAGACAGGAAGAUGACCGAAAUAGCCUUGCCCAAUGGCCUUCUCAAAGGUAGGCUCAAUGGUGGAGCGCCGCUGUGACUUUUGGGCUGGCCCAUGAAGUUCUCUUCCAUCUUUUUCCUGUUUCUCAUUUACUUUCUUUGUGUUUGUAUAGGUUUACUUAUUUAUCUUAAAUUCCGGUUUUUAAAAUUCAUUCGUGAUUUCGGAAAAAUGUUGACAAACUACCACGCGUGGGAAAAUAUUUGGCCCAUGCAACAAGGCACUCUUGCCUAUCAUAAUCAAAUUCACACACGCAGACUUUACCAAAACAGUACACAAUUAUGUAACAUGCCUUUGGUUUGCUGUCUUUCUGAGCUCACCAACCAUAGGCACAAGAAACAUAUAUAUUGGCUGUAAGAAGAGAUGGAAAAGGGAAGUGGCACAGAGCAAACUCUGCUAUAUACUACGUCUGAAACAUUAAAAACAUGUGCAUAUAACCAGUUCCUAGUUUACACCGACAACCAUAGCCAAAAUAAAGAGAAGAUUAGGCAGAACCAGGUAACCAGGUCAAAAUCCUAGCUGAGACUUUAACGAUUCUGCAAAUUCGGUCCAAAUAGCAUGAAUAAGAAAAUGUACAAUUGUUAUUCCAAAGACCUGGAAAGAACUAACACUUCCAUACAAUUGAGAAAAUAAAAAUCAUGUAAUACUUCUUAACAACCGGUAUGUGGAUUGAAAUUUAACUCGAAAUAACAUAUGCAUUCAUAUUUAACUACACAUGUUUUCAUCCCAGUUUACUUCUAACCAAAUUGUUUAAGAUAUUAUACUCAGAAUGUUAAUUAAGAGAAUAUUGUGAACUAUCAUGAAACACAUAAGAUCCAUUAACUUUACAUCAUUCAAGAGAACAGAUCAAUAUUACCAGUUUGAGAGAACAAUAGUUUUAUCACCAAUGCACUAUGUAAUGCUUCUAUCAUACCAAUGACUAAAGCACAACUGCCAAGCAAUGCUAUAUUCAUCACUCUCAGUAGCUGCCUCAUAGGAAACAGUUAAGCUUGUGUAAACAAAAGGAUGUCAUAUACAAUCUGGAGCAUUUGGUCACAUAUAAGCCAUGGAAAGAAAUUGGUGGAAUUUAGAGUGUGCUCUAACAACCUACCUAUAACGCUUUACUACUGAAAUGCAAGACAACAUGAAUUGAUCAUCCCUUUAGAGUAAGAUCAUAAGGUCAUUUUACACAAAGGUAAAGGGAAUGUUCUGAAUUCUGAAUUUAAAAUUUCAACCUUGGUGAAGUCAGAAGUAGCGGAGUCCAGUUCUCUUUGAAAUGCAUAUGUUGUACCUCUCCCAAUUGGUGCCUCUGGAUAUGUUAGACUUUUCCUCAGUAUCUGCAAAUGUAAAUGCAGAUUUUCAGGCUCCUUUUAUGAUUAGAGAGAAUAAGCGAGAAAAACUGAUAAUAGACCAAACAAAACCUGAUAAAAAAACUGAUUAUAGGUUCCAAAACCUGAGAAAAAUUAAUGGUGAAAUUUGCUUCAAAACAACAGUAUCCACAUGUAAAAGAAAUAGAGAUUACAUCUACAGAAACUUCACUACAAAUGGAAGAGCUUUUUUCAUUCAGGUGUUCUUUUGAUCAUUUGUGUACCUUGGACUCAAAGCAGGGGAGCAUCCUCUUACAAGCCAGGCUAGCAGCCAGCAACAAGCCCAACGUGCAGAAUGAUCCAUAGAUCCAGCGAUAUGAAGUUAGAGAAGACACACACAGAGGCACAUACCUGCUCCAGAAAGCUUCAGGGCACGGUUGAACACGGCCAGUGCCAUGUCCUCUGCGGCCUGCUUGCUUGUGAACUGCAGGGGCAAUUGGAAACCAAAAGCAUGGUCGGUGAGUCAGUCUGAUGAGUGCCUAGGGCGUGUCAAACGUGAUGGCUCCAAAGUCCUUUCUUGAUGGAAACAAGCACAAAUGUUUUUGCACUUUCUCUAAAAACUCAUACAAAAACAUAACCUAUUGGCUGAAUGGUGCUAGAAUCGCUUAGCCAUGAAAACAUUGAAAUAUAUACCCCAACUUCAGACUCAAGGAAGGCAGGUUAGAGAAAGCCAACAUCCCAAUCUCAAACUGAAGCGCAUCACCCCUAGGAAGCCAUCUGGAGCCUGUGACAACACAAUCACAUCAAAAUGCAGUAACAAAUUUCACUGUGUACACGAGAGAGAGAGAGAGAGAGAGAGAGAGGUACUUUUUGUUCAAUAUUUUCUGCAGGCAAAUUCUUCAUCUUUCGUCCCUUCUCGAACCUGCAAACAUGGUGUACGAUAAACCAUAUAUUACAUUAUGAAAUCAAAACCAGGGAGACAUAUUAAUAACUCCUUUGCUUCCUUACCUUCAUACCUCUACUAAUAGAGAAACCCUUUAGUAUCUUGUGAUCAACACCCCGCUGCUGCGCGGAGCUAGCCAUCCCCCUGUGCGCCGAGGAGGUGGGAAAGGCGCAGCGGAACAUGCUCCUCCUAUGGAGUCUGAGCUCGUCUGCAGCUCAAGCUUACUCCCAUGCGCCUCUGGAAUAUAUAAACAGACUUAAUGCACAUACUUAUGAUAUAAGAAGCUGUAGAUGGGAAGUAUAACCAAAACCAGUUUACUUUUAUAGACUUAUUAUAGUACAUCCUGCAACACUAUAAAGAAUUUUUGUGAAACUAAUUUUUGAAGGCAAAUAUCUCCAAUGGUAAUUUAAUCUGGUAAUUGUUUAUUAGCGCUGAGAACAACUAUUUCAUUUAUCAAAUAAUGAAAAGAGCAGCAGCUAAAUGAUAAUAGAGAUAGUGUUACCACUUCGUAAGGAAAAAGAGUAGUGUAGAAAACUUACAAAUAGGACCAAGACCAACAUCAACCUUUCCCUCCACCAUGAAUACCUUAACCACCAUCUUCAAGUUCAUCAUAAGAAAAUAGUCACAUAUAUGCACAUCAAGCCUGCACCAUCAUAACCAGGAUUAACCCAAAAUCAAAUGUCUCAAGCUUUUGGUACCUCAAAAUUGACAGCAUUAGAGAUAGAGAUGUUUCCGUUUGCAUAUGCAAAAAACCAAAGAACUAAACAUAUACGUGGUUGAAUGAGUUCGUAUUAGGAAACUUGGCAAGCAAGAUGAGCACUACAAAAAAAAACAAGAACAGAGAAAGGAGAAAGAGAAGGGGUCGACCUGCAGGUCACUGGACGAAGACAAACCCUAGCCUCUCAAGUCUCACCAAUUCUGCUGCUUCUUGCCCGCCGCCGCCUUGAGCACAAGCUUCUUCUUCCCGGAUGUGGUGCCUGCUUCUUGCCCGCCGACGCCUUGAGCACAAGCUUCUUCUUCCUGGAUGUGGUGCCCUUGCGCGGGCACGUGGUGACCGUGGCCUCCAGGUUGGCCUCGGCGCGUCCUAGGCGGAGGACGUGCGCUUGCCUCGCGACGGUCCGACGGCCGAGGGCGGCGAGCUGGGCGGCGCCAUGGGUUCCAUGCGGCUGGCUAGGGUUCCAGGGGAGGAUUCUGAUGGGGGGCGUGAAUGGGAGGGGUGGCCGAUGGUGGGGAAGGAGGCUGGCGGCGUCCUCGUCGCGGGAGGAGCAGCGCGGGAGGAGGCUGGCGGCGGCCUCGUCGCGGGAGGAGCAGCGCGAGAGGAGGCUGGCGGUGGCCUCCUCGCGGGAGGAGGCUGCGGAUGGGGCGGCUAGGGUUCUACAACGGGGGCUGCUAUUUUUAUAUGCUUCUGGCUGAAAUGACGAAAAUGCCCUAGGUGGGGCACCAAAUUUACAGGCGGUGGCAUGGCCAUUUCGACAUUGUUUCGAUCUACAGUGCCCAUUUUUGAUCCAAUGACCGACGUCUCUCCAUCUCUAGAUCGGACGGCCCAAAACGCAUCAAGGAAUCGAUCCAACGGCCAGAAAGCACUGAUCUAUGAGAGCGCUGGGUUGCUCCUGGUAUGUUAUCUUACGCGAUUCCCAGAUAGUAGCUAAGUAAUCCUAGAUCAGUCAUGCUAAAUUUUGAUUUCAUUUGUCUCUUGAAAUCACUGAUUGCUUGACUGUCUCCACCUGUGAUUACAAGGUCAUCCACAUAGACACCUACAAUUAAUACAGAGCUUUUCACAUUUUUCUUGUACAACCUUGACUCGGAUGGGCACCUUUCGAAGCCAAAUUCACUCAGAGUUGCAUCAAGCUUGGAGUUCCAGGCUCUAGGUGCUUGACGAAGGCCAUACAGAACUUUCCUUAGCCUAUACACCUUGCUGCUAUGCUCUUCUUUCUCAAAGCCAGGAAGUUGACUGACAUAAACCUCCUCAACUAGAUCACCAUUCAGAAAAGCUGACUUUACAUCCAUCUGGUGGAUCUUCCAAUCAAACUGGCUGCCAUUGCAAUGAGCAACCUCACCGAUUCCAGUCUUGCCACAGGAGCAAAUACUUCCUAGAAGUCUAUGCCAUGUCGUUGCACAUACCCCUUUGCUACAAGCCUGGCCUUGUGUUUGACUACUUCUCCACUCGGAUUUUUCUUCACCUUGUACACCCAUUUCAAUCCGAUGGGUCGGUGCCCUUUAGGCAAUUCACACAGCUGCCACGUUUAUUUUCCUCUAUUGCUGUCAUCUCUUCAUCCAUGGCACGCUUCCAGCACGAUUCCUUCAUUGCCUCUAGAUGGUUUGACGGCUCCUCAAGCCCAAACAGGCACAUGCCUGCAUCUGUAGCUUUAACUGGUUCGGUGUCCUCGUACAGUUCGGCGAGCAACCGCUUCCCUUGCGGUCCUUGUGAGGGCUCGGUGAGAGGUGUGUCAGAGGGAUCAGUGCCACGAGAUAGUGUCGACGAUGGAGGCGUCAGAUCAAGAUGGAGCGGAACUGAAUUUCCAUCACCGGCAUGCCUUGUUUUCACUUUUUGCACUAGCGCUGAGACUAAACCUGGAGUCGCUCCUGCCGUGGUAGGAUUUUGCGCUAUUUUCUCUGCCACGGCAGGAGUUGGUGCUGCUUCCUCUGUCAUGAAUGUGUCUUUCUGUUCUGGAUAGUGAAUCACCAAAGGCUCCUGCACAUCGUCUUGGGUUGAUACUUGAUGAUUCCAAUCCCAAGGUCUGUUCUCCUCAAACACUACAUCAUGUGUCACGACCAGUUUCUUACUUUCAGGGUCGUACAUGCGAUAGGCUUUGGAACCACUCUCGUACCCAAUAAAAACCAUCUGUUUACUUCUGUCAGACAGUUUGGACAGUCCUGGCCCAAUUAUCUUCACAUGAGCUGUGCAGCCGAACGUUCUCAAGUGCUUCACUGAAGGUUUCCUUCCAUACCAUGCUUCAUAAGGUGUCAUACCUUUAACACUUUUCAUUGGGGCCCUAUUUAAGAGGUAUACUGCAGUCGUCACCGCCUCUCCCCAGAAUCUGGACGGCCCCCCCAUGCUCUUUAGGAGGCUUCUUGCCAUACUCACUACUGUCUGAUUUCUGCGCUCUACCAUGCCAUUGUGCUGAGGAGUAUAGGGAGCGGUGCGAAAAUGUUUGAUGCCAUGUUCAUCACAGUAGCUAGCAAACUCCUUCGAAUUGAACUCCCCACCCCUGUUAGUGUGCAGUGCCUUGAGUUUCAUGCUCUUCUCAAGUUCUGCUGCUGCUUGCACUUUCUUAAUUGCUGCAAACGCCUCAUCCUUUUCCUUCAGCAGGACAACCCACAUGAAUCUGGAAAAGUCAUCAACCAACAGGAGAAAAUACUGCUUGCCACCAGGUGUCACUGGAGUAAUUGGCCCACAGAGGUCGCCAUGCCAAAGCUCAAGUUGUCGCUGAGCUCUGAAUGCUGCUUGUGCUGGGAAUGGCAACCUUUUUUGCUUGGCGAUCAUGUAGCCGUCACACACUUGAUCGACUUGCUCAAUGCAUGGCAUUCCUUCAACCAUGUUUUCUGAUACCAGUGAGCAUAAUGACCUGAAAUUGAUGUGGCCAAAUCUCAUGUGCCAUAACCAAGCAUCCUCAUUUGCAUAUGCCAGCAGGCAGACUGGUUCACACUGUUGUAUCUUCAGUACAUACAUGCGAUUUCGAGUUCUGGGCAUGCGGGCAAGCACCUUUCUCUGGCUAUCCCAGAUUGUCAUCACACCAUCUUUGUCGGUGUACUUACAGCCGCUCUCCUCUAGCUGUCCAAGAUUAAUAAUAUUGUUCUUCAGUCUUGGAAUAAAGUACACAUCUGGCAGCACUCGGUGCUCGCCAGUGAGGGACUGCAUCAGUACAACCCCUCGCCCGCAGAUCUCUACAGCAGACCCAUCCCCAAACCUAACUUUGCCAUGAACAGAACGGUCCAGCUCAGCAAAAUUCGGUGGAUUGCAUGUCAUGUGGUUACUUGCUCCAGAGUCCAGGUACCACAAGAUGUCACGAGCGCCUGAGAAUUUGGGCACCACUUUCUCUUCAUUCAGGAAGACCUGUUCAGUCAGUUCAACACUCUGCUGCUGCAACUCACAAGUCUCCAGCAUGAACAGUGUUGGAUCCUCUUCCUCCUUCUGCACGAGAUUUGCCUUCUCGCAUUUAGGUUCUGGACAAUCAGAUUGGAAAUGUCCCUUCUCGUUGCAGUUGUAGCAUAUCACCUUGGCAAUGUCAAAAUUUCCUUUCUUCUUCUGCUUGCCAUGAUCACUUCCUGAACCUUCCCUGACUUGGUGGAAUCACCCUUCCCACCUUUCUUCUUUCCAGCAGACCCGCUCGAGCCACUGCCCUUCUUGGUCUGCAUCAGCUGCUCUAGUGCCCUUGUCAUGAGCAUGAGCUGGUCAUCCUUGUUGCUACUAGCACGGCGUUGGCCGCGCUGCCCGGUCUCAUACGUUGCCAAUCUGCCAAUGGCUUCAGAGAUCGGCAUUGUGGUGAGAUCACCCCACUGCUCGAUGGUGUUCACCACAUCAGAGAACCUGUCUGGCACAGCAUUGAACAAGAUUUCAAUCACAGAUUCAUCCUCAACUUUCUCACCUAAGUUGCGGAUCUCGGCGACGAGCGUGGUCAGCUUCUGCCCGAACGCCACAACGGUCUCGUCGUCGUCCAUCUGCGGCCGAUCCAGCUGGCGCUUAAGCUGCUUGACGCGCGCCUUCUUGACGCGAUCCUCACCGACGCGCAUCUGCCGGAUAGCCUCCCAGGCCUCCGCUGCCGUCUCGUACUCGGCGAUCGCCAUGACCAUGGCAUCAGGGAGGGCUGCUAGAGCGCGGCGAACGCGUCCUCGUCCCAAGCCUGGUCAUACUCACCCUUGCCGUCGACGGCCGCCCAGCAGACAAGGGUGCGCAUGAUGAUGCGCAUCUUCACAACCCACACGCCAUAGUUCGUGUCGGUGAGCUGGGGGUAGUGCAGAGGUACACCACCGCGCGACGGUGCUCUGGCUACGAGCGCUCCUCCGCUCGUACCUCCGUCGACGUCCUUCGCCUUCCCUUGCGGCUUGUUGCCGAUCUUCGGCAUCACGGCUCGCUCCGCAAUCCCAACGCCACCAACUCCUCCGCCACCAAAUCGCCUCCAACCCUAGGGCUCUGCUACCAAAUGACAGAUCUCAGGCCUAGAUACUCAACGCGAUCAUAGUGGAAAAAAACCAAAUCGAUCAAACACGCCGCUCUGAAACUUUCGCUCUCUGACGGAACACACGAUACAGAGGGAGACAGAGGUUUUGCGACGCGUUCAACUUGCGUCUUUUCUGUUUUUGCUUUCCUUUUAUUCACCCUGAUCCUAUCGAGCCGGCCUCGAUCCGUUUUCUCAGCGCCAUCCCACGGACGAGAUCGUGGCCGCGAUUACACGAUUACAUGAAAAGGUAAAAGCUAGACCUAUUCAGCCGCAGCACAAACACAGCGUGCUUCUGGCCUUAUUCUUCAGAAAAGAAAACAACAUGAAGUUGAGGUCUCCUAGAAUUAAUUCUAACACACAGUCCUUAAUUCUCAAGUUCUCUUACUAUGGUCCCUGGAAUUUCAUCUACGAAGCUACCGUAUGAUCUGAUCGACAAGGGCUGGCAGUAUACAUGUAGCAACAAGCAUGGAUUCAACGAAGGUGACAAGGCAAUGUGAUUUCAGUGCUGCGACUCUGCUUCGCAUGCAGAUGACAUUCGGGUUCCUAACAAAAUUUCGCCUACGGUUCUACUGUUUCCAGGUGUGGCAGCAAAUACAGACUCAUAUUUUUUUCAAGCAACUGACUAGUGUGACAUAUCACUUGCAUGUUCUGUUUCAGUUUACCCCAUUUAACAAUCAACAGUGUGAGUUAGAGCUUCUUUGUUAAGACUUAAGAAGGGCAUGACAGUCUUUUGAACAUUUAUGGAAACUCAUAUUGUAUGGCAUCAUAUGUACGUACAUUAUGUAUACCCAUUCAAUCUAAUAUUCCCCCCCUAUCAAAAUUCAGUCUUGUAUUUAUAGUACAUUUUUUUAUUAAUAACUAGUAGUACAUUUCUUUAUUCCUUCUCUUUUUGGUAAAAACAUGCUUAAGAAUUGAAAAGGAAAUGCUGUUAUUCGAAAAAAGUCUGAAAAAAAUGAUCAUUGUGUAUUUUGAAUGGUCGCUGUGUAUUUGAAAAAUAUCCAUCAUGUGUUCAAAAGUUUAGUCAUGUAUUAAAAAUAUGUGCACGAUGUAUUUGAAAAGGUUUUGUCACAUAUUUUUUUAGAAAAUCGUCAUAUAAUUUAAAGAAUAUCCAUAUGUACAAAACGUAGACGAUAUUAAAAUGAGAAGAACAAUAAAAACACCUGAAAUAAAAAAAUCGAGCACAAAAUAUAAGAACCCUACCUAAACAGGAGAAACGGGAAAGUAAUAAAAAGAAACCAACCCGUAAAAAAACAGCCUGGAUACCCAGAAAAUGGGCCUACCCACAUGACGCACGCUUGGGCGUGUGGCAUUUUCCAUCGUUAUGAGCAUCAACUAAGUUUUAUUUUAUCUAAAAAAAUCAACAAAGUUAUUUUUGCAUGCGUCACUUAGCGAUAGCUUAGAAUUGCCCGUGUUGCACUCAUUGCGGCUCGUUAAGAUAAAUGCAUUUUUCUGGAAUUUUGUUAAGCUAGACAAUAACUAAGAGCAUCUCCAACAGCCGCGCCACGCGAAAAAAGUAGUGGUUUUAGCGCACGCGCUACCGUUUCCGGCGCUCCAGCGGACGCGCAAAAACCGCGCGCGCGGCAUAUGUAAUUCAGCGCGCAGGCGGAAACGCCAUCGCGCACCGCUUAUUUGAUGCGCCCGCUCCCGCGCGCUGGACUCUCGAGCACUCGAGCACUCGCGCACAACUCCACCUACCCAUCCAGCCGCGCCGCCGCCACCACCCGCGCCACCCCAUUUUCCCGGCGACCUUUCCGGCGCUUCCCCGGUCUCUUCCCGCGCGGCCGCAACUUCCUCCAUCUCUCUCUCUAGUCAGCGCCACCCGUCGCGCGGGGCAGUCUCCGACGAACAGCGCCCGGCCGCCCACCGCUACUUGGCGCCCGCAAGGUGUUCGACAAAAGGCCCGCAAGGUAUGUAUUGCUUCCAACUUUGACAUUUUUGCAUGAAAUUUGGUGCAUGUUGUUUAUAGCCUAGGUUUGAACAUUUUAGAUGAGUUCGUCAUAUGAUUCUUCCGAAGAAGAAUUUGAUAUGGAAGAGAAGGAAAAUUUUGCAAUGAUCCUAGCUAUGCACAUCAAUAAAAACCGAAGCACGAUGGUUCGGUUAUGGGUUGGCAAAAAAAUUGGAGGGAUAGGAUUGAUGCCCACAACAGAUUGAUGAGGCACUAUUUUGUGGAGAAUCCCACAUACCCCGAGUCGGACUUUCAUCAUCGGUUUAGGAUGAGCACCGAGUUGUUCAGGCGCAUUGCAGAGAAACUAGCGAGCCAUGACCGAUUUUUUCAGCAGAGGAGGAAUGCCGCCGGAGAGCUCGGGCAUAGCACCUUUCAGAAGGUGACAACCGCUUUGCGUAUGUUGUCAUACAGUAUUCCCGCUAAUCUAGUUGAUGAUCACUUGGCCAUGGGUGAGAGCCAAGCCAUCAUGUGUGUCAAGCGCUUCGCAGUCGGAAUUGUGCAAGUGUUUGGCCCGGAGUACUUGAGAACUCCCAAUGCUGAAGACGUCGGAAGGCUAUUGGAGAUGAACAAAGCUCGCGGGUUCCCAGGUAUGCUUGGCUCAAUAGAUUGCAUGUAUUGGAGUUGGAAGAAUUGUCCAAAGGCAUGGCAUGGCCAAUUCCACGGACAAAAAAGGGUUCCACUAUAAUCCUUGAAGCGGUGGUUGUCGGUGUCAAAAUCGUCGGAUCUCGGGUAGGGGGUCCCGAACUAUGCGCCUAAGGCUAAUGGUAACAUGAGGCGGGGGACACGAUGUUUACCCAGGUUCGGGCCCUCUCGAUGGAGGUAAUACCCUACUUCCUGCUUGAUUGAUCUUGAUGAUAUGAGUAUUACAAGAGUUGAUCUACCACUAGAUCAUAGAGGCUAAACCCUAGAAGCUAGCCUAUGAUUAUGAUUGUUGUUGUCCUACGGACUAAACCCUCCAGUUUAUAUAGACAUCGGAGGGGGCUAGGGGGCUAGGAUUACACAGAGUCGGUUACAGAGAAGGAGAUCUACAUAUCCGAAUUGCCAAGCUUGCCUUCCACGCAAAGGAGAGUCCCAUCCGGACACGGGACGAAGUCUUCAAUUUUGUAUCUUCAUAGUCCAACAGUCCGACCAAAGUAUAUAGUCCGGCUGUCCGAGGACCCCUUAAUCCCGGACUCCCUCAGUAGCCCCCAAACCAGGCUUCAAUGACGGUGAGUCCGGCGCGCAAAUUAUCUUCGGCAUUGCAAGGCGGGUUCUUCUCUAAAUUCUCCAGAGUACCUGUUGUAGCGAGCGGUGUCCGGCUUCCCAUCAAUGUUGCACUCCUCGGCUUCUGUGCUUUAAUAAUGGCUAUCUCCACGUGUCGAGCGGAUGCGAGAAGUCGGGGCAUUUUUUCAUUUGCCACCCUGACCAUGCAAGUAAAUCGUCUAUUUAAAGAGUUGAGGAUCCUUAGAUCCAAAUCACACCAUCUCCUCCCAGCGAGUAUCCAUCAGAGCGCGCCCGGAAAAAUCCAUCCAAUCAUGGACGGUCGUCACAGCUCCUCCUCUUGCUCCCGUAGCACCAAGCCAGGCGAUUGGGAGAAGUGUUUCGUUCCUCAUAGCCGAUUGGUAGAGCUGCAGACCCAGGGGUUUCUCCCGCCCGCGUACAUGGUCCCCGUCCGAGCCGGACUAGCCACUUAUAAUGGCGGGGAGCAAGCAGAGAGUUCCCCCAACCCAUCCAAGGGGGAGCGGGUAUGUUUUGUCCCCUAUUUGCUGAGGGGACUUGGAUUUCCAAUUCAUCCAUUCCUCCGCGGGCUCCUGGAGUUCUAUGGUCUCCAGCUGCACAACUUUACUCCAGCCUCCAUACUGCAUAUUGCGGGUUAUGUUGCCUUCUGCAAGCUAUUUCUGGGUUGUGAAGCUCAUUUUGAGCUAUGGAAGAGGCUAUUCUGCCUUGUACCCCAUACUCAGGAGGUGUCGAUAUAUCAAGUGGAUGGAGCCGAGAUAUGGUGCAUCGCCGAGACCGGAUACCUGUCUGGUACUCCGAAGAAGGCAUUCAAAGACUGGCCUUCAGAGUGGCUUUACAAGGAGGACGUCCCUCUUCCGGACCCUAUUCGGUUGGGCCUUCCCGAGUUUGCAAAUGCCCCGUUGAAGAAACGCCACAGCUGGCGCCCCCGGAGCCCCCGGGAGGAAGAUAACAGAGAGAUCCUUUUCCGGGUGGACAGGAUAAAGACACUGGCCAAAUCAGGACUGACAAUAAUUGAGGUUAUGUCCAUAUGUAUAAUGCAGGGAGUGCAGCCACUUCAAUAUCGGGGGAAACCCAUGUGGCACUACAAUGGAGAAGACGACGCCACCUGCUGCGGCCGUAAAGUUCUGGACUCCGCCGCCGCUCUGGCGAAAAUAUUGUUCGAUUUGUUCAAAGGGGAAGAAGAGGAGUUCAUCCAUAUUAAGCCACGGGAUGGAUUCUCCAUGUACAACUCCCCAAGCUAGGUAAGCUGCUAUCUUUUAUUCCAGUCUUUCCCGCGUUCUCCAGCACAAACAUUUACCUUGCUAAUUCGUAACAGGAGCUGCGCAAAGCUAUGAGGGAUGUUCACAGCCCAUCUCCACAGCCAGAGGACCCCAACCGGGCCCUCGACCCCGGACUCGAAGAAGAUCCGGACACAUUUGUGGAGCUCGUCGACAGGACAUUUUAUCAGUUAAGCUGCGAUGGUGCUUUGGUGGCCAUCAUAGCUGACUACCCUGGCCUACUCCCUGUAUCACAUGUAAGUAAAACCGGAGUCCCAACUUUCAAGAAGGAUUCCCUCUUUGCGCCUUACCCAUCGCAUAUGUUUUGUGUUUUACAGGGAAGGCCAUCAGGACUUCGUGCCGAACCCGCGGUGACUCGUCAACAAGGAGCACCGAAGUCGGGUAGGCUUAAAAGGAAGGCGGUCAGGACCGAGACGCCGUUGCAAAGGUAUGACUAAAAACCUGCUACACAAUUAUCAUCGUUAAGAUAUGACCGUGUCCACUGUGUCCUGGCAGAAAAAGCGCUCGCCGGACUAUAUACGGAGAGCCUGCCGGCCAUGCCUCCACCAGCCUGACUCCGAGGCCGGAACCGAGGGCGGAGGCAACACAGGGACAACGCCGGAUGAUCCUCCUACAGAGGAUGCGGAUAGAUUCUCCACUACGAACUCCGAAGUGGAGAGCGCCAUGAAUCAUAGGCGCCGGCGGGCCACACUACGCGACCCUAAUUUCUCUGAAGAGGCAUUCAACGCCUUCAACUCAGGGGACGCAUACAUCUGAGCUGCUCAAGAUGGCCUCGCCAGAGCUACGGACCAGUAUGUAAAGGAUAUACAGGUAAGAUAAUUUGAUAAGUAUGUAUAUUAGUAGCCCCUGAGACUUGAAACUAUUGGCACAACUGAUUUAAGGAUCAAUUAUAUACAUAGGUUCUUACAGAGAAGAAUACUCAGCUGUCUAAAGAGCUGGAGGAGUGCAAAGCCCAGCUACGGGCCGCAGUCGCCGGAAUGGAGGAGUCCAAGAAGGCCUCAUCUGGUAAUACUUGUCUUGAUCGAAAAGAAUGUAUUGACAUAUACCAAUUAGUAUUCGGCAUGCAUGCAAAUCUAACAAAUAGAGUCUGCAGACAAUCCCGGAGGUAAUCCGGAGAUCGUAUCGGAGGAUGAUCAACAUGCUCGACGACAGCUGAAGGCUGGCGAGUGUGUGCUUACUAAGGUUAUACGAGAGAAAAAUAAUCUCCAGGACGCGAACACCCGACUAGACGUCGAAUUAAAGGAUGUUCGAGCCCAGCUUGCUGACUCCAUGAAGGAGAAUAAGAGGCUUCGACGCGGCAUUUUUAGUAAGUGCUCUUAACGAACCACUAUAAGGUUCGAUGAAGAAGUGGGCUAACAGAAUUAUAUCUGUAGGUAUGUUGACAGGUCGUCUCGAAGAGGAGAUGCCCGGAUCUGCAGGCGAUCUUCUGCAGGAGCUCUCACAACUGCACGAACAAGUUCGACAGGUGAUGCAGGACAUUGCCUAGGCCUUGUGGCCAUCCGCGUCCCUGCCAGGAGGCAUGGGGGAGCUUGUAGAGAUGCUCAAGGGAGCGCGGCGGCUCUUCCGAUUAUGGAAGAUAUCGGCCUGCCGACAAGGUGCAAGGGGAAGCCUGGGCCAUGGUGAAUACGCGAUACACCAAGGCUGACCCAAACCACAUGGCCGAGGUCGGACUUGUAGGGUCAGAUGUGAAAGAGAUCCUUGUAAGUCUGGUAUACGACCAGGUAGCAUUAGCCGCUAAGUAUUCCCAACAGGCCUGUAGGCUAGAUAUCCUGUUGGAUGGUAUAGAAGAAGAGUUUAGUCAUUCUAAGUGACUUUGUACUUCAAAGGACAUAUUUUGUCCCUAGCUGGAUUGUAAAUCAUUUGUCUUGGCGGACCUUUUCGCUUCAACCUCUGGACCCGACAGUCCGGAGUGUAUCCAAAUACCCGCUCGGUUAUGUGAAAACCGGGGCAUGCGUGGAAACCAGGCGUAGGGGUCAUAAGUGCUUGAACAGACAAGUACCCAACUAGUUAUGUUAUAUUACAUGGGUAGUAAGAAACAUCUUCCACGGAGAAUAGUUUCGUUAAGGGUUCCUUUCCCUGGGUGUGCAUGCAUUAAUGUGCAUGUCCGAACUGCGAAAAAUGACGCAGGAUAUAAGCAUUUGGGGGCACGUUUUGUAAUAGGUAAAAGAUAUCUUUUGUUCACCGACCGAAUAUUCCCUUAAGAAUGCUAGCUUUCGGCUUCACCCAGUCUGAGGUACACAUCCGGCUGACCCGGCAGUAACAAUCGCAGAGGUGCUCCCCUUAUGCCCUAGCCGAAUUAAUGGGAAUGUAGGGCAUAAACACAAGAGCCAAGCAACCCAGCUUGGCCAAAUCUUAAGUCAUAUCCUAUGAAGCACCGAUACGGCAGCACUGAUACGGCGAUACGGGAUACGACAAUUUCUAAAAACAGCAAUACGGCGAUACGGUGAGUAUAUAUAAAUAAUAAUACUAGAAUGACAUGUAAUAAAAGCAAACAUAAUAAAAUGUGUGAGAUGAGACCAAAAUAUUAUAGGCAGUAGGCACAUUAGCAAGCUGUAGGCAUCAGUCAAGUAUUCUGCAGUUCAUUGGAUGUCUUCAGAGUCAUUAGUAUAUCUGCAUACAGUCAAUUAACCUACCUUAGGAAACACGACAUGUUUCUAUAUCUAUAGAUACUACAUGUACUUUGAGAGCCUCACUACUGAAGGAUUUUAUUGGCUACAAAGAAGACUUAAGGAGGUUAGCAUUUUGGCACAAUUCUUCAGGUGUUCUCUGUCAGCAAUUCAUGCUUCUUUUCUUUGCGAGCCAGCGAGCACGACAGAGUUAACACAUUAGCGUAUGGCUAAUCAUUAGCAAAGCAGUAACAUUAGCAAGCAACUACAAUCCCUACAACGUACAACCUACUGAAUCAAGUAAUCUACAACUACAAGCUGCCAACCUACUGAAUCAACUACCGGCGGGUUGGGAGUUGACAGGUCAGGGAGCCGACUCCAGCCGGCGGAGGCGACCACUCCAGGCAGCGAGCGACUCCAGCCGGCGGCGGCGAUGAGGUGAGCCCAGGCGCCGCCGGCGGCUCGCUUGUGCCGUUGUGCGCCUCUCCCCUGCCGUGCGCGUGUGAAGCGAACAGAGUGAAAGGAGUACACGAGUUAGGGUUAAUAUAUUGGGCUUGUACUGGGCCGACCGUAUCCCAGCUGUGUCACGAACGGUGAACAACACGUAUCAGCGUUUUUUCCAUCUUUUUUUAAUCAAAAAACACGAUACUCCGGCGAUACGCGUAUCGCGGCUGUAUCUUCCGUAUCGGCGUAUCGGCAACGUACAGGACGGCGAUACACAGGUUUUGCACGUAUCGGUGCUUCGUAGGUCAUAUCGAUGCAUACAGUGGUGAAAAAAGGCACAUAUGGAGAAGUGACGCAUAUGUGGUGGGCAUAAAGCCCAGAAGACAAUUAUAUUAAGUUUCUGUAUAAGAAGCCCCCAGGUAUAUUGAGCGCGCAUAGCGCGGCAGGAGUGUGCGGUUAAAGCAUACUUGAGGCUUUUAAGGCUAUAUAUAUAUAUAUAUAAGAGAGAGAGAGAGGAUAUAAUUUAAAAAAAGAGGUAAGGAGGUAAGGAGACAAACAUAGAGUUCGACACUAGGCGUAGAAUCUUCGGAGUCUGGCCGCGUACCAUGGGUUCGGCUCGAGUCGAUAAUCUGAUGCAUCACGCAGACUGUACGCUCCUCCGGUGAGAACUUUAUCAAUGAUGAAGGGACCCUCCCAUUUGGGCUUGAGCUUGUCCUUUUUCUUCUCUGGUAGUCGUAGGACGAGUUCGCCAAUGUUAUAAGUUUUGCAUGUACUUCUCUGCUUUGAUAUACCUUCGAGCCUCCUAUUGAUAAGAUGCGGAACGGGCCUUUGCGAUGUCACGCUUCUCCUCCAGGGCAUCUAAGCUAUCCUGCCGAUCCAGCUCGGCUUCUCUCUCUUCGUACAUGCGCACUCGAGGUGAGUCAUGGAUGAUAUCGCAGGGUAGCACUGCCUCGGCAUCGUACACCAUAAAAAAAUGGUGUGUAUCCGGUUGUGCGAUUUGGCAUGGUCCACAGCCCCCAUAGUACGGAGUCGAGCUCCUCGACCUAGUGCGUAUCUGAUUGCUUCAAGGAUCGCACUAGUCUGGGUUUAAUGCCGCUCAUGAUAAGACCAUUCGCUCGUUUGACUUGACCGUUUGUUUGGGGGUGAUAGACGGAUGCAUAAUCGAGCUUUAUGCCCAUUUUGCCGCACAAAGUUUUCACCUCGUCGGUAGUGAAGUUUGAGCCGUUAUCGGUGAUGAUGCUGUGGGGGACACCAUAACGGUGUACGACCUCGGAUAUGAAGUCUAUCACUGGUCCGGACUCGGCCGUUUUAACUGGUUUGGCUUCUAUCCAUUUGGUGAAUUUAUUGACCAUGACCAACAAGUAUUUCUUCUUAUGGCUUCCUCAUUUAAGGGGUCCAACCAUAUCAAGCCCCCAGACCGCAAAGGGCCAAGUUAUGGGGAUUGUUUGGAGAGCGGUAGGUGGCAUAUGGCUUUGAUUUGCAAAAAGCUGGCAACCGACACAAUGUUGGACAAGGUCCUAUGCGUCUGCCCAUGCUGUUGGCCAGUAGAAACCUGUACGGAAGGCCUUGCUUAUGAGCGCCCGAGCUGCGGCAUGGUGGCCGCUGAGUCCGGCAUGAAUUUCAGCCAAGAGCUGCCGCCGUUCCUCUUCGGAGGUGCAUCUUUGGAGCACUCUAGUCGUGCUUUUCUUAUAAAGCUCUCCCUCGUGGACUUUGUAGGCUUUAGAGCGUCACACAAUACAACGUGCCUCAUUUUGGUCCUCAGGGAGUUCUUGCCUGUUUAAGUAGGCUAAGAAGGGUUCUGUCCACGGGGCGAUGACAGCCAUAAUCGCGUGGGCCGAAGGUGUUAUUUCGGUGGCGGAGCCUCCGAUUUUGUCAGAUUGUUCGGGAUCUGGGGUUGUGUUCGGAUCCGGACUGGUAUUUUCGUUGUCCCCUUCCCACACCAUGGAUGGCUUGAAUAGACUUUCCAAAAAGAUAUUAGGUGGGACGGGGUCGCGCUUAGCGCCGAUGCGGGCGAGGAUAUCCGCUGCUUGGUUGUUUUCUCGGACCACAUGGUGGAAUUUGAGCCCCUCGAACCGAGCUGACAUUUUGAGGACGGCAUUGCGGUAGGCCGCCAUUUUUGGGUCCUUGGCAUCAAAGUCUCCAUUUAUUUUAGAUAUUGCGAGGUUUGAAUCCCCAUGCACUUCUAGGCAUUGAAUGCCCAUGGAGACUGCCAUCCGGAGACCAUGCAACAGGGCCUCAUAUUCGGCUACAUUGUUUGAAUCUUUGUAUAGUAUUUGGAGUACGUAUUGGACUGUAUCUCCGGUGGGGGAUGUCAGGACAACGCCUGCCGCUAGACCGGCCAGCAUCUUAGAGCCGUCAAAGUGCAUGAUCCAAUUGGAGUAUGCGUCGUACUCUUUAGGGAGUUCGGCUUCUGUCCAUUCGGCAACAAAGUCAGCCAGUACUUGCGACUUAAUGGCUCGCCAUGGUUUGUAUGUUAUGUCGAACGGGAGGAGCUCGAUAGCCCAUUUAGCAAUCCGGCCCGUGGCAUCGCGGUUAUUUAUUAUGUCAUUGAGUGGUACUUCGGAGGCCACCGUGAUUGAACACUCUUGAAAGUAGUGUCGUAGUUUUCGGGAUGCCAUGAAGACCGCGUAUGCUAUCUUUUGAUAAUGUGGGUACCGUGACUUGCAUGGAGUGACGACAGUGGAUACAUAGUAUACCGUCUUUUUAAGCGGGAACUUAUGUCCGUCUGUCUCUUGUUCGAGGACGAGCACUGCGCUUACAACCUGGUGUGUUGCAGCUAUAUAUAACAGCAUAGGUUCGCCGAUAUUUGGCGCGGCCAGGAUUGGAUUGGUGACUAAGAGGGCUUUUAUUUCCUCUAGUCCAGCCGUAGCCGCAUCCGUCCACUUGAAGUGUUCGGUGCGUCAAAGAAGGCGAUAAAGGGGUAGUGCCUUUUCUCCUAAUCAGGAGAUAAAGCGGCUUAAGGCGGCCAUGCAUCCAGUUAAUUUCUGGAUUUUCUUGAGGUCUGUUGGGGUAGCCAACUGUGACAGAGCUCGUAUUUUAGCCGGAUUUUCUUAUAUUCCUCUAUUGGAAACGAUAAAGCCCAAGAGCUUUCCGGCAGGUACGCCAAAAAUGCAUUUUUUCGGAUUGAGCUUGAUGUCGUAUGUUCGGAGAUUAUUGAACGUAAGCCUCAAGUCGUCUAUUAAAGAUUCGACAUGUCUGGUUUUGAUUACCACAUCAUCUACGUACGCCUCCAUUGUUUUGCCGAUUUGUGUUUCCAAGCAUGUCUGAAUCAUGCGUUGAUAGGUUGCACCGGCGUUUUUGAGCCCGAAAAGCAUGGUGUUAAAACACAAGGGGCCGUAUGGAGUGAUGAAUGCCAUUGCUGCUUGAUUAGACUCCGCCAUCUAUUGGGGAACGUUGCAGAAAAUUAAAAUUUUUCCUACGGUUUCACCAAGAUCCAUCUAUGAGUUCAUCUAAGCAACGAGUCAAGGGAGUGAGUUUGCAUCUACAUACCACUUGUAGAUCGAGUGCGGAAGCGUUCAAGGGGAUGGUGAUGAUGGAGUCGUACUCGUCGUGAUUCGAAUCACCGAUGACCAAGUGCUGAACGGACAGCACCUCCGCGUUCAACACACGUACGGGACGGACGAUGUCUCCUCCGUCUUGAUCCAGCAAGGAGGAAGGAGAGGUUGAGGAAGGCAGCUCCAACGGCAGCACGACGGCGUGGUGUAGUUGGUGCAGCAGUACUCCGACAGGGCUUCGCCAAGCACGUACGGAGGAGGAGAGGUGUUGGGGAGGGGAGGGGCUGCGCCUUGGCUUGUGUUGUUGCAGCCCUCCCCUCACCCCUCUAUUUAUAGGGGAAGGGGCAAGGGGGGCCGGCCCUCUAGGGGAAACCCUAGGGGGGGCGGCGGCCAAAGGGAGAAGGGAAAGAGGGGAGGCUUGCCCCCCAAGCUAGGGGGGCGCCCCCUUUAGGGUUUCCCCUCCCCUUGCCCUAGCCGCAUGGGCCUAGGUGGGGAGGCACGCCCAGCCUACUAGGGGCUGGCUCCCUCUCCCACACAGCCCAUGUGGCCCCCCCGGGAGGGGUGGCCCCACCCGGUGGACCCCCGGAACCCUUCCGGUGGCCCCGGUACAAUACCGGUAUGCCACCGAAACUUUCCGGUGUCCGUUUAACCACUUUCCUUAUAUAAAUCUUUACCUCCGGACCAUUCCGGAACUCCUCGUGACGUCCGGGAUCUCAUCCGGGACUCCGAACAACAUUCGGUAAUCACAUACUUGUCUUCCUGAUAACCCUAGCGUCACCGAACCUUAAGUGUGUAGACCCUACGGGUUCGGGAGACAUGCAGACAUGACCGAGAUGCUCUCAGGUCAAUAACCAACAGCGGGAUCUGGAUACCCAUGUUGGCUCCCACAUGCUCCUCGAUGUUGUCAUCGGAUGAACCACGAUGUCGAGGAUUCGAUCAAACCCCGUAUGCAAUUCCCUUUGUCAAUCGGUACGUUACAUGCCCGAGACUCGAUCGUCGGUAUCCCAAUACCUCGUUCAGUCUCGUUACCGGCAAGUCACUUUACUCGUACCGUAAUGCAUGAUCCCGUGACCAGACACUUGGCCACCUUGAGCUCAUUAUGAUGAUGCACUACCGAGUGGGCCCACUGAUACCUCUCCGUAACACGGAGUGACAAAUCCCAGUCUCGAUCCGUGUCAACCCAACAGACACUUUCAGAGAUACCUGUAAUGCACCUUUAUAGUCACCCAGUUACGUUGUGACAUUUGGUACACCCAAAGCACUCUUACGGUAUCCGGGAGUUACACGAUCUCAUGGUCUAAGGAAGAGAUACUUGACAUUGGAAAAGCUCUAGCAAACGAACUAACCGACCUUUGUGCUAUGCUUAGGAUUGGGUCUUGUCCAUCACAUCAUUCUCCUAAUGAUGUGAUCCCGUUAUCAACGACAUCCAAUGUCCAUAAUCAGGAAACCAUGACUAUCUGUUGAUCACAACGAGCUAGUCAACUAGAGGCUCACUAGGGACAUAUUGUGGUCUAUGCAUUCACACGUGUAUUACGAUUUCCGGAUAAUACAGUUAUAGCACGAAUAAAAGACUAUUAUCAUGAACAAAGAAAUAUAAUAAUAAUACUUUUAUUAUUGCCUCUAGGGCAUAUUUCCAACAGUCUCUUACUUGAACUAGAGUCAAUAAUCUAGUUACAUUGUGAUGAAUCGAACACCCAUAGAGUUCUGGUGUUGAUCAUGUUUCGCUCGCGAGAGAGGUUUAGUCAACGGAUCUGCGACAUUCAGAUCUGUAUGUACUUUGCAAAUUUCUAUGUCUCCAUCUUGAACAUUCUCACGGAUGGAGUUGAAACGACGCUUGAUGUGCCUGGUCUUCUUGUGAAAUCUGGGCUCCUUCGCAAGGGCAAUAGCUCCAGUAUUGUCACAGAAAAGUUUGAUCGGCCCCGACGCAUUGGGUAUGACUCCUAGGUCGGUGAUGAACUCCUUCACCCAAAUAGCUUCAUGCGCUGCCUCCGAGGCUGCCAUGUACUCCGCUUCACAUGUAGAUCCCGCCACAACUCUCUGCUUGCAGCUGCACCAGCUUACUGCUCCACAAUUCAACAUAUACACGUAUCCGGUUUGUGACUUAGAGUCAUCCAGAUCUGUGUCAAAGCUAGCGUCGACGUAACCCUUUACGACGAGCUCUUCGUCACCUCCAUAAACGAGAAACAUGUCCUUUGUCCUUUUCAGGUACUUCAGGAUAUUCUUGACCGCUGUCUAGUGUUCCUUGCCGGGAUUACUUUGGUACCUUCCUACCAAACUUACGGCAAGGUUUACAUCAGGUCUGGUACACAACAUGGCAUACAUAAUAGAUCCUAUGGCUGAAGCAUAGGGGAUGACACUCAUCUCUUCUAUAUCUUUUGCCGUGGUCGGGCAUUGAGCCGAGCUCAAUAUCACACCUUGCAAUACAGGCAAGAACCCUUUCUUGGACUGAUCCAUUUUGAACUUCUUCAAAAUCUUAUCAAGGUAUGUGCUUUGUGAAAAACCUAUGAGGCGUCUCGAUCUAUUUCUAUAGAUCUUGAUGCCUAAUAUAUAAGCAGCUUCUCCAAGGUCCUUCAUUGAAAAACACUUAUUCAAGUAGGCCUUAAUGCUGUCCAAGAAUUAUAUAUCAUUUCCCAUCAAAAGUAUGUCAUCUACAUAUAAUAUGAGAAAUGCUACAGAGCUCCCACUCACUUUCUUGUAAACUCAGGCUCUCCAUAAGUCUGCAUAAACCCAAAUGCUUUGAUCAUCUCAUCAAAGCGAAUGUUCCAACUCCGAGAUGCUUGCACCAGCCCAUAAAUGGAUCGCUAGAGCUUGCAUACUUUGUUAGCGUUCUUAGGAUCGACAAAACCUUCCGGCUGCAUCAUAUACAGUUCUUCUUUAAGAUAACCGUUAAGGAAUGCCGUUUUGACGUCCAUCUGCCAUAUCUCAUAAUCAUAGUAUGUGGCAAUUGCUAACAUGAUUCGGACGGACUUAAGCUUCGCUACGGGAGAGAAAGUCUCAUCGUAGUCAAUCCCUUGAACUUGCCGAUAACCCUUAGCGACAAGUCGAGCUUUAUAGACGGUAACAUUACCAUCCGCGUCCAUCUUCUUCUUAAAGAUCCAUUUGUUUUCUAUCGCUCGCCGAUCAUCGGGCAAGUCAGUCAAAGUCCAUACUUUGUUUUCAUACAUGGAUUCUAUCUCGGAUUUCAUGGCUUCUAGCCAUUUGUUGGAAUCUGGACCCGCCAUAGCUUCUUCAUAGUUCGAAGGUUCACCGUUGUCUAACAACAUGAUUUCCAGGACAGGGUUGCCGUACCACUCUGGUGCGGAACGUGUCCUUGUGGACCUAUGAAGUUCAGUAGCAACUUGAUCCGAAGUACCUUGAUCAUCAUUAUUUUCCUCUUCAGUUGGUGUAGGCAUCACAGGAACAUUUUCCUGGGCUGCACUACUUUCCGGUUCAAGAGGUAGUACUUCAUCGAGUUCUACUUUCCUCCCACUUACUUCUUUCGAGAGAAACUCUUUUUCCAGAAAGGAUCCGUUCUUGGCAACAAAGAUCUUGCCCUCGGAUCUUAAGUAGAAGGUAUACCCAAUGGUUUCCUUAGGGUAUCCUAUGCAGACGCAUUUUUCCGACUUGGGUUCGAGCUUUUCAGGUUGAAGUUUCUUGACAUAAGCAUCGCAUCCCCAAACUUUUAGAAACGACAGCUUAGGUUUCUUCCCAAACCAUAAUUCAUACGAUGUCGUCUCAACGGAUUUAGACGGUGCCCUAUUUAAAGUGAAUGUAGCUGUCUCUAGAGCGUAUCCCCAAAAUGAUAGUGGUAAAUCGGUAAGAGACAUCAUAGACCGCACCAUAUCUAAUAGAGUGCGAUUACGAUGUUCGGACACACUGUUACGCUGAGGUGUUCCAGGCGGCGUGAGUUGUGAAACGAUUCCACAUUUCCUUAAGUGUGUACCAAAUUCAUGACUUAAGUAUUCUCCUCCACGAUCUGAUCGUAGGAAUUUUAUCUUUCGGUCACAUUGAUUCUCUACCUCAUUCUGAAAUUCCUUGAACUUUUCAAAGGUCUCAGACUUGUGUUUCAUUAAGUAGACAUACCCAUAUCUACUCAAGUCAUCAGUGAGAGUGAGAACAUAACGAUAUCCUCCGCGAGCCUCAACACUCAUUGGACCGCACACAUCGGUAUGUAUGAUUUCCAACAAGUUGGUUGCUCGCUCCAUUGUUCCAGAGAACGGAGUCUUGGUCAUCUUGCCCAUGAGGCAUGGUUCGCAUGUGUCAAAUGAUUCAUAAUCAAGAGACUCUAAAAGUCCAUCAGCAUGGAGCUUCUUCAUGCGCUUGACACCAAUGUGACCAAGGCGGCAGUGCCACAAGUAUGUGGGACUAUCGUUAUCAACUUUACAUCUUUUGGUAUUCACGCUAUGAAUAUGUGUAGUAUUACGCUCGAGAUUCAUUAAGAAUAAACCAUUGACCAUCGGAGCAUGACCAUAAAACAUAUCUCUCAUAUAAAUCGAACAACCAUUAUUCUCAGACUUAAAUGAGUAGCCAUCUCGUAUUAAACGAGAUCCAGAUACAAUGUUCAUGCUCAAACUUGGCACUAAAUAAUAAUUAUUAAGGUUCAAAAUUAAUCCCGUGGGUAAAUGUAGAGGUAGCGUGCCGAUGGCGAUCACAUCGACUCUGGAACCAUUCCCGACGCGCAUCGUCACCUCGUCCUUUGCCAGUCUCCGCUUAUUCCGCAGCCCCUGCUGUGAGUUACAAAUAUGAGCAACGGCACCGGUAUCAAAUACCCAGGAGUUACUACGAGUACUGGUGAGGUACACAUCAAUUACAUGUAUAUCGAAUAUACCUUUAGUGUUGCCGGCCUUCUUAUCCACUAAGUAUUUGGGGCAGUUCCGCUUCCAGUGACCCUUCCCCUUGCAAUAAAAGCACUCAGUCUCAGGCUUGGGUCCAUUCUUUGACUUCUUCCCGGCAACUGGCUUACCGGGCGCGGCAAUCUCCUUGCCGUCUUUCUUGAAGUUCUUCUUACCCUUGCCCUUCUUGAACUUAGUGGUCUUAUUGACCAUCAACACUUGAUGUUCUUUCUUGAUUUCAACCUCUGCUGACUUCAGCAUUGAAAAUACUUCAGGAAUGGUCUUCACCAUCCCCUGCAUAUUGUAGUUCAUCACGAAGCUCUUGUAGCUUGGUGGGAGCGACUGAAGGAUUCUGUCAAUGACCGCCUCAUCCGGGAGGUUAAUGUCCAGCUCGGACAGGCGGUUGUGCAACCCAGACAUUUUGAGUAUGUGCUCACUGACAGAACUAUUUUCCUCCAUCUUACAACUGUAGAACUUGUCGGAGACUUCAUAUCUCUCGACCCGGGCGUGAGCUUGGAAAACUAGUUUCAGCUCUUCGAACAUCUCAUAUGCUCCGUGAUGCUCAAAACGCUUUUGGAGCCCCGGUUCUAAGCUGUAAAGCAUGCCGCACUGAACGAGGGAGUAAUCGUCAGCACGAGACUGCCAAGCAUUCAUAAUGUCUUGGUUCUCUGGGACGGGAGCGUCACCUAGCGGUCCUUCUAGGACAUAUUGUUUCCUGGCAGCUAUGAGGAUGAUCCUCAGGUUCCGGACCCAGUCCGUAUAGUUGCUGCCAUCAUCUUUCAGCUUGGUUUUCUCUAGGAACGCGUUGAAGUUCAUGUUGACAUGAGCGUUGGCCAUUUGAUCUACAAGACAUAUUAUGCAAAAAGUUUUAGACUAAGUUCAUGAUAAUUAAGUUCAUCUAAUCAAAUUAGUUUAAUGAACUCCCACUCAGAUUAGACAUCCCUCUAGUCAUCUAAGUGUUACACGAUCCGAGUCGACUAGGCCGUGUCCGAUCAUCACGUGAGACGGACUAGUCAUCGUCGGUGAACAUUCUCAUGUUGAUCGUAUCUUCCAUACGACUCGUGUUCGACCUUUCAGUCUCCGUGUUCCGAGGCCAUGUCUGUACAUGCUAGGCUCAUCAAGUUAACCCUAAGUGUUUUUGCAUGUGUAAAACUGUCUUACACCCGUUGUAUGUGAACGUAAGGAUCUAUCACACCCGAUCAUCACGUGGUGCUUCGAAACGACGAACUUUAGCAACGGUGCACAGUUAGGGGGAACACUUUCUUGAAAUUGUUAUAAGGGAUCAUCUUAUUUACUACCGUCAAUCUAAGUAAACAAGAUGCAUAAACAUAAUAAACAUCACAUGCAAUUACAUAAAGUAGUGACAUGAUAUGGCCAAUAUCAUAUAGCUCCUUUGAUCUUCAUCUUCGGGGCUCCAUGAUCAUCUUGUCACCGGCAUGACACCAUGAUCUCCAUCAUCAUGAUCUCCAUCAUCGUGUCUUCAUGAAGUUGUCACGCCAACGACUACUUCUACUUCUAUGACUAACGCGUUUAGCAAAUAAAGUAAAGUAGUUUACAUGGCGUUCUUCAAUGACACGCAGGUCAUACAAAAUAAAGACAACUCCUAUGGCUCCUGCCGGUUGUCAUACUCAUCGACAUGCAAGUCGUGAUUCCUAUUACAAGAACAUGAUCUCAUACAUCACAAUAUAUCAUUCAUCAUUCAUCACAACUUCUGGCCAUAUCACAUCACAUGACAAUUGCUGCAAAAACAAGUUAGACGUCCUCUAAUUGUUGUUGCAUCUUUUACGUGGCUGCAAUUGGGUUCUAGCACGAACGUUUUCUUACCUACGAAUAACCACAACGUGAUCUUGUCAACUUCUAUUUAACCUUCAUAAGGACCCUUUUCAUCGAAUCCGCUCCAACUAAAGUGGGAGAGACAGACACCCGCCAGCCACCUUAUGCAACUAGUGCAUGUCAGUCGGUGGAAUCGGUCUCACGUAAGCGUACGUGUAAGGUUGGUCCGGGCCGCUUCAUCCCACAAUACCGCUGAAGCAAGAUAAGACUAGUAGCGGCAAGCAAGUUGAAAAGAUCCACGCCCACAACAAAAUUGUGUUCUACUCGUGCAAUAGAGAACUACGCAUAAACCUGGCUCUGAUAUCACUGUUGGGGAACGUUGCAGAAAAUUAAAAUUUUUCCUACGGUUUCACCAAGAUCCAUCUAUGAGUUCAUCUAAGCAACAAGUCAAGGGAGUGAGUUUGCAUCUACAUACCACUUGUAGAUCGAGUGCGGAAGCGUUCAAGGGGAUGGUGAUGAUGGAGUCGUACUCGUCAUGAUUCGGAUCACCGAUGACCAAGUGCUAAACGGACAACACCUCCGCGUUCAACACACGUACGGGGCGGACAACGUCUCCUCCGUCUUGAUCCAGCAAGGAGGAAGGAGAGGUUGAGGAAGGCAGCUCCAACGGCAGCACGACGGCAUGGUGUAGUUGGUGCAGCAGUACUCCGACAGGGCUUCGCCAAGCACGUAUGGAGGAGGAGAGGUGUUGGGGAGGGGAGGGGCUGCGCCUUGGCUUGUGUUGUUGCAGCCCUCCCCUCACCCCUCUAUUUAUAGGGGAAGGGGCAAGGGGGGCCGGCCCUCUAGGGGAAACCCUAGGGGGGGCGGCGGCCGAAGGGAGAAGGGAAAGAGGGGAGGCUUGCCCCCCAAGCUAGGGGGGCGCCCCCUUUAGGGUUUCCCCUCCCCUUGCCCUAGCUGCAUGGGCCUAGGUGGGGAGGCGCGCCCAGCCCACUAGGGGCUGGCUCCCUCUCCCACACAGCCCAUGUGGCCCCCUCGGGAGGGGUGGCCCCACCCGGUGGACCCCCGGAACCCUUCCGGUGGCCCCGGUACAAUACCGGUAUGCCACCGAAACUUUCUGGUGUCCGUUUAACCACUUUCCUUAUAUAAAUCUUUACCUCCGGACCAUUCCGGAACUCCUCGUGAUGUCCGGGAUCUCAUCCGGGACUCCGAACAAUAUUCGGUAAUCACAUACUUGUCUUCCUGAUAACCCUAGCGUCACCGAACCUUAAGUGUGUAGACCCUACGGGUUCGGGAGACAUGCAGACAUGACCGAGAUGCUCUCAGGUCAAUAACCAAUAGCGGGAUCUGGAUACCCAUGUUGGCUCCCACAUGCUCCUCGAUGUUGUCAUCGGAUGAACCACGAUGUCGAGGAUUCGAUCAAACCCCGUAUGCAAUUCCCUUUGUCAAUCGGUACGUUACAUGCCCGAGACUCGAUCGUCGGUAUCCCAAUACCUCGUUCAGUCUCGUUACCGGCAAGUCACUUUACUCGUACCGUAAUGCAUGAUCCCGUGACCAGACACUUGGCCACCUUGAGCUCAUUAUGAUGAUGCACUACCGAGUGGGCCCACUGAUACCUCUCCGUAACACGGAGUGACAAAUCCCAGUCUCGAUCCGUGUCAACCCAACAGACACUUUCGGAGAUACCUGUAAUGCACCUUUAUAGUCACCCAGUUACGUUGUGACAUUUGGUACACCCAAAGCACUCUUACGGUAUCCGGGAGUUACACGAUCUCAUGGUCUAAGGAAGAGAUACUUGACAUUGGAAAAGCUCUAGCAAACGAACUAACCGACCUUUGUGCUAUGCUUAGGAUUGGGUCUUGUCCAUCACAUCAUUCUCCUAAUGAUGUGAUCCCGUUAUCAACGACAUCCAAUGUCCAUAAUCAGGAAACCAUGACUAUCUGUUGAUCACAACGAGCUAGUCAACUAGAGGCUCACUAGGGACAUAUUGUGGUCUAUGCAUUCACACGUGUAUUACGAUUUCCGGAUAAUACAGUUAUAGCAUGAAUAAAAGACUAUUAUCAUGAACAAAGAAAUAUAAUAAUAAUACUUUUAUUAUUGCCUCUAGGGCAUAUUUCCAACAACAUCUUGAUUUGAUGGUACCCGGAGUAUGCGUCGAGGAAACACAAUGAGUCGUGUCCUCCGGUAGCGUCGAUGAUUUGAUCGAUGCGGGGGGGGGGAGGGAUCCUUAGGGCAAGCCUUAUUGAGGUCUUUGAAAUUGACGCAUAGGCGCCAAGACUUGUCCUUCUUUGGUACCAUCACCAGGUUUGCUAGCCAGUCCAGAUGUUUUAUUUCUCUGAUGAAUCCGACUUCGAGUAGCUUGGCUAGCUCUUCUCCCAUGGCUUGUUGCUUGGGUUCUAAAAAGCGCCGAAGAGUCUGUUUGACCGGCUUGUAUCCCUUUAGUAUGUUUAGGCUAUGCUCGGCCAGCCUGCAUGGGAUACCUGGCAUGUCUGAAGGAUGCCAGGCGAAGAUGUCCCAAUUCUCACGCAAGAACUCUCGUAGUGCGGCGUCUAUUGUGGGGUUCAGCUGUGCCCCAAUUGAUGCUAUUUUUGUAGGGUCCGUUGGGUGGACCUGGAAUUUUACUAUUUCGUCUGCUGGUUUAAAAGAGGUGGACUUGGGUCGUUUGUCGAGUAUCACGUCGUCCCUGUCCACUAUGGAGCGCAGCGCUAUUAACUCUUCGGCCGCUAAGGCUUUGGAUAAUGCCUCCAGGGCUAGUGCGACGGUUUUAUUUUCGGUGCGGAGUGCUAUGUCCGGAUCACUAGCUAGGGUGAUGAUUCCAUUGGGCCCAGGCAUCUUGAGCUUCAUGUACCCAUAAUGGGGUAUAGCUUGGAAGCUUGUGAAUGCGUCCCGCCCUAAAAGGGCGUGGUAUCCACUACUGAACGGGGCCACUUGGAAUGUUAUUUCUUCAGACCUAUAAUUUUCCGGCGUGCUGAAUACUACAUCCAGCAUAAUUUUUCCCGCGUAUCGUGCCUCCCAGCUAGGGAUGAUUCCUCUGAAGGUCGUGCUGCUUUUCUCAAUGCGGCUCUUAUCGAUUUCCAUUUUGUUAAGAGUUUUCUCAUAUAUGAGGUUUAAUCCACUGCCGCCGUCCAUGAGCACUUUAGUAAGCCGGAAGCCGUCCACAAUUGCACUAAGGACCAAAGCGGCUGGUGCUCGGACUGUUCGGAAUUGAGGUUCGUCACUGGCAUUGAAGGUUAUGGCCGUAUCGUUCCACGGAUUUAUUGCUGCGACGUGGCAGACUUCGGCAAGGCUGCGGAGUGCUCGCUUACGCCUAUUGUUUGAGGCAAAAGUCUCGAAGAUUGUUAGUACUGUAUUGUUAUUCUCUAUGGGAUGGUGCUCUGCGGUAUUGUUGAUGAGGAGGUCCUCGCCGCUCUUGGCCACCUGCCGAAGUAUCCAACAUGCUCUAAGGCUAUGUGUUGGUAUGAUGCUCGGUGUGCUGUGAAUUUUGCAUGGCCUGUUGAGCCAUCCCUCCAGUACGGUUCCUCGCCCUGUAAAGGGCUUUGGCUUCUUUGUAAUUGGAUUGGGUGACCUGCGAGAGCGCACCCUUUUAGUUCGGACGAGGGGUUUAGUGAGAGCCGGAGAAUCCCAGAAUUUUGUUUGGGUUUUCCAGGCGCUUUCCAUCGCACAGUACUUCUGUACUAUGGCAGCCAAGUCGGCGAAGUGUGCUAUGUCACGGCGACUUAUGGCGUUGAGAAUUCCCUUGUCCGUGCAAUUUUUGCAAAAGAAUGAGAUUGUGUCUUCCUCGCGACAGUCCCUAACCUUGCUCAUUACAAGUAGGAAUCUGGCCCAGAAGUGAUGUACUGUCUCUUGGGGCUCUUGUCUGAUGUGGGAAAGAUCACUUGUGUCUGGGUGGGUGGGCAGACUUAAGCCCAAAUCCCGAUCCGAUCUGAGAUCCAGGGGCAAAGGAGCUCCCGAGCUUGGUGGCUCGGACUCCAGGAUGUUGCCCAAUAUUUGUGGCCCGUUUCCCGAUUCUAAGUUCGGAGCCUGGGCCAUGUCCUCCCAUAAACGGGUAUCCAGCUCGGGAAUCCGGACAUAGUUUGUCCUCAAAAUAGAGGAAGAAUCGUUGUUUUGUUCCUCCACCACCGCUAUCUGAUGGGUGACCGGCAGAGAGUUAAUCUCCCUUUGGUUGGGUUUAAGCCCGAUCCGAUCAUAGUCCAUAGCGACUCCCAGGGCAGCGAUGCGGUCCAAGAGCUCGUUCGGGGAGGAGAGCUCUAUUGGAUCCAUCUGCUCGGUGAAUUCCAAGUUGACGUGGAGGCUGUUCUUGAUGAGCUGAGAAGUCAUCGUCGGCGUGGCGGCCGAACGGGCGGCCAUGACGAAGCUGCCCAGCCGGAGAGUCUGGCCUACAGCCAGGGUUCCUCCAGUGGUGACGUUGUCCUUGACAAAAGGCGAGCCAUCAAGCCUUAUCGGGAAGGCACAGUGGAACUCUCAAUGAAAGGACCAAUGUCGGUGUCAAAACCGGCGGAUCUCGGGUAGGGGGUCCCGAACUGUGCGUCUAAGGCUAAUGGUAACAGGAGGCGGGGGACACGAUGUUUACCCAGGUUCGGGCCCUCUCGAUGGAGGUAAUACCCUACUUCCUGCUUGAUUGACCUUGAUGAUAUGAGUAUUACAAGAGUUGAUCUACCACGAGAUCGUAGAGGCUAAACCCUAGAACCUAGCCUAUGAUUAUGAUUGUUGUUGUCCUACGGACUAAACCCUCCGGUUUAUAUAGACACCGGAGGGGGCUAGGGUUACACAGAGUCGGUUACAGAGAAGGAGAUCUACAUAUCCGAAUUGCCAAGCUUGCCUUCCACCCAAAGGAGAGUCCCAUCCGGACACGGGACGUGAUACGUCUCCAACGUAUCUAUAAUUUUUGAUUGUUCCAUGCUAUUAUAUUACCCCUUUUGGAUGUUUAUGGGCUUUAUUUUACACAUUUAUAUCAUUUUUGGGACUAACUACUAACCGGAGGCCCAACCCGUAUUGCUGUUUUUUUUGCCUAUUUCAGUAUUUCGAAGAAAAGGAAUAUCAAACGGAGUCCAAACGGAAUGAAACCUUCGGGAGCGUGAUUUUUGGAACGAACGUGAUCCGGAGGACUUGGAGUGCAAGCCAAGAAGCAGCCGAGGCGGUCACAAGAUAGGAGGGCACGCCCCCUGUAGGGCGCGUCCCUGUCUUGUGGGCCCCUCGGGCGGCCACCUACGUACUCCUUCCUCCUAUAUAUACCUACGUACCCCGAAAACAUCUAGGAGCACCACGAAACACAAUUUCCACCGCCGUAACCUUCUGUAUCCGCGAGAUCCCAUCUUGGAGCCUUCGCUGGCAUUCUGCCGGAGCGGGAAUCGACCAUGGAGGGCCUCUACAUCAACAUCCUUGCCCCUCCGUUGAGUUGUGAGUAGUUUACCACAGACCUACUAGUCCAUAGUUAUUAGCUAGAUGGCUUCUUCUCUCUUUUUGGAUCUCAAUACAAUGUUCCCCCCUCUCUUGUGGAGAUCUAUUCGAUGUAAUCUCUUUUUGCGGUGUGUUUGUCGAGAUCCGAUGAAUUGUGGGUUUAUGAUCAAGUUUAUCUAUGGAUAAUAAUUGAAUCUUCUUUGAAUUCUUUUAUGUGAUUGAGUUAUCUUUGCAAGUCUCUUCGAAUUAUCGGUUUGGUUUGGCCUACUAGAUUGAUCUUUCUUGCCAUGGGAGAAGUGCUUAGCUUUUGGUUCAAUCUUGCGGUGUUCUUACCCAGUGACAGAAAGGGUUGCAAGACAUGUAUUGUAUUGUUGCCAUCGAGGAUAACAAGAUGGGGUUUAUAUCAUAUUGCAUUAGUUUAUCCCUCUACAUCAUGUCAUCUUGCUUAAUGCGUUACUCUGUUCUUUGUGAACUUAAUACUCUAGAUGCAGGCAUGAGUCGGUCGAUGUGUGGAGUAAUAGUAGUAGAUGCAGGCAGGAGUCGGUCUACUUGUUAUGGACGUGAUGCCUAUAUACAUGAUCAUGCCUAGAUAAUCUCAUAAUUAUUCGUUUUUCUAUCAAUUGCUCGACAGUAAUUUGUUCACCCACCGUAAUACUUAUGCUAUCUCGAGAGAAGCCUCCAGUGAAACCUAUGGCCCCCGGGUCUAUCUCUUAUCAUAUUUGCUUCCAAUCUACUUUUAUUUGCAUCUUUACUUUUUGCAUCUAUAUUAUAAAAUACCAAAAAUAUAUUUAUCUUAUCGUAUUAUCUCUAUCAGAUCUCACUUUCGCAAGCGGCCAUGAAGGGAUUGACAACCCCUUUAUUGCGUUGGUUGUGAGUUCUCAGUUUGUUUGUGUAGGUGUGUGGGACUUUUGAGGAGCCUCCUACUGGAUUGAUACCUUGGUUCUCAAAAACUCAGGGAAAUACUUACGCUACACUUGCUGCAUCACCCUCUCCUCUUCGGGGAAAACCAACGCAAGCUCAAGACGUAGCAAGAAGGAUUUUUGGCGCCGUUGCCGGGGAGGUCUUCACUCAAGUCAAGACAUACCAAGUACCCAUCACAAACCCAUCUCCCUCGCAUUUACAUUAUUUUCCAUUUGCCUCUCAUUGUCCUCUCCCCCACUUCACCUUUGCCGUUUUAUUCGCCCUCUCUUUCCCCAUCUCCUCCUCUCUUUUUGCUUGCCUUUUUUAUGUUUGCUUGUGUGUUGGAUUACUUGUUGCCAUGGCGCAAGAUAAUACCAAAUUGUGUGAUUUCUGGAAUACCAAUAAUAAUGAUUUCCUUAGUACUCCGAUUGCUCCUCUUAAUGAUGUUGAGUCUUGUGAAAUCAAUGAUGCUUUGCUCUUGUGAUGAAAGAUCAAAAUUCGCCGGUCUUCCUAGUGAAGAUGCCGCUACUCAUCUAAACAACUUUGUUGAUUUGUGUGAUAUGCAAAAGAAGAAAGAUACAGAUAACAAUAUUGUCAAAUUGAAGUUAUUUCCGUUUUCACUUAGAGGUCGUGCUAAAGUUUGGUUUUCGUCUUUGCCUAAAAAUAGUAUUGAUUCUUGGAACAAGUGCAAAGAUGAUUUUAUCUCUAAGUAUUUUCCUCCCACUAAUAUUAUCACUCUUAGGAACGAUAUUAUGAAUUUUAAACAACUUGAUCAUGAGCAUGUUGCCCGAUCUUGGGAAAGAAUGAAAUUGAUGCUUCACAAUUGCCCUACUCAUGGUUUGAAUUUAUGGAUGAUCAUACAAAAAUUUUAUGCCGGUUUGAACUUUGCUUCUAGAAAUCUCUUAGAUUCGGCCGCGGGAGGCACAUUUAUGGAAAUGAUGUUAGGAGAUGCUACAAAACUUCUUGAUAAUAUUAUGGCUAAUUAUUCUCAAUAGCACACCGAAAGAUUUUCUAGUAAAAAAGUGCAUGCUAUAGAAGAAAUCAAUGUUUUGAGUGGAAAGAUGGAUGAACUUAUGAAAUUGUUUGCUACUAAAAAUACUCCUCUUGAUCCCAAUGAUAUGCCUUUGUCUUCUUUGAUUGAGAAUAAUAAUGAAUCUAUGGAUGUGAAUUUUGUUGGUAGGAAUUAUUUUGGAAACAAUGCCUAUAGAGGAAAUUUUAAUGCUAGACCGUUCCCUAGUAAUUCCUCUAAUAAUUAUGGAAAUUCCUACAAUAAUUAUUAUGGUAAUUUUAAUAAGAUGCCCUCUGAUUUUGAGAAUAGUUUGAAAGAAUUUAUGAUUUCUCAAAACAAUUUUAAUGCAUUGCUUGAAGAAAAAUUGCUCAAAGUUGAUGAUUUGGCUAGGAACGUUGAUAGACUUUUGCUUGAUGUUGAUUCUCUUAAAGUUAGAUCUUCUUCUCGUAAGCAUGAUAUCAAUGAGUCUCUCAAAGUAAUGAGAAUUUCCAUUGAUGAGUGUAAGGAAAGAACCGUUAGAUUGCGUGCUAAGAAAGAUAGCUUUAUAAAAGUGUGUUCUUCUAAGUUCCAUGAAAAUAAUGAUGAAGAUCUUAAAGUUAUCGAUGCGUCUCCUAUUAGAUCUAUGUUUUGCAAUAUGAAUUUUGAUUAUUAUGGGACUGAUGAUGAAUCAACUUUGCCUAGAAGGCGUCCCAAGAAUUCGGAGUCUUUAGAUCUUGAUGCUAAGUUUGGUAAAAGCGAGAUUGGAAAGGUCACAACUUCUAAUAACAUUGAACCUACUAUUUCGGAUUUCAAGGAAUUUGAUUAUCAUAAUUGUUCUUUAAAAGGUUGUAUUUCCUUGUUGCAAUCCGUUAUUAAUUCUCCACAUGCUUAUAGUCAAAACAAAGCUUUUACCAAACAUAUUGUUGAUACCUUGAUGCAAUCUUUGGAUGAAAAACUUAAUUUGGAAGUUUCUAUACCUAGAAAACUUAAUGAUGAGUGGGAACCUAAUAUAAAGAUUAGAAUUAAAUAUUAUGAGUGUUUUGCUUUGUGUGAUUUGGGUGCUAGUGUUUCCACGAUUCCAAAAACUUUAUGUGAUAUUCUAGAUUUCCAUGAUCUUGAUGAUUGCUCGUUAAAUUUGCAACUUGCGGAUUCCACCAUUAAAAAGCCUAUGGGAAGGAUCAAUGAUGUUCUUAUUGUUGCAAAUAGAAAUUUGGUGCACGUAGAUUUUAUCGUUCUUGAUAUAGAUUGCAAUCUUUCUUGCCCUAUUAUUCUUGGUAGACCUUUCCUUAGAACGAUUGGUACAAUUAUUGAUAUGAAGGAAGGGAAUAUUAGAUUCCAAUUUCCUUUAAAGAAAGGCAUGGAACACUUUCCAAGGAAGAAAGUCAAAUUACCUUAUCAAUCUAUCAUGCAUGCUAUUUAUGAAUCAAGUGCCAAAGAUGGCACUCGUUAGUUCUAUCUUUGCUUUUAUGCCUAGCUAGGGGCGUUAAACGAUAGCGCUAGUUGGGAGGCAACCCAAUUUUUCUUUAUGAUUUUUAUUUUUGCUCCUGUUUAGUAAUAAAUCUUGCAUCUACUCUCUGUUUAGAUGUGUUUUUAUCUUUUAAUUAGUGUUUGUGCCAAGUAGAACCUAUAGGAUAAACUAUGAUGAUAGUUGAUUUGAUUCUGCUGAAAAACAGAAACUUUGCGCUCACGAGAGAAAAAAUCAAUAAAUCACAUAAACGUGCUUUUGCAUUGAUUCUUUUUUAUUCUUAUCAAUAAACAAAUUUUCCAUUACUUCCUAUUUUUGUAAGAUUUUUAGAGUUCCAGAAGUUUGCAUUAGUUACAUAUUGCUACAGACUGUUCUGUUUUUGACAGAUUCUGUUUUUCGUGUGUUGUUUGCUUAUUUUGAUGCAUCUAUAUCUAGUAAAAUAAUUUAUAAACCAUAGAGAAGUUGGAAUACAGUAGGUUUAACACCAAAAUAAAUAAAUAAUGAGUUCAUUGCAGUACCUUAUGUGGUGGUUUUGUUUUCUUUCACUAACGGAGCUUAUAAGAUUUCCUGUUGAGUUUUGUGUUGUGAAGUUUUCAAGUUUUCGGUAAAGCUUUUAUGGACUAUGGAAUAAAGGGUGGCAAGAGCCUAAGCUUGGGGAUGCCCAAGGAGCCCCAAGAUAUUCAAGGAUAGCCAAAAGCCUAAGCUUGGGGAUGCCCCGGGAAGGCAUCCCCUCUUUCGUCUUCGUUCAUUGGUAACUUUACUUGGAGCUAUAUUUUUAUUCGCUACAUCAUAUGUGUUUUGCUUGGAGCGUCGUGUAUUAUAUUAGUAUUUUCUUUUUAGUUUAACACAAUCAUCCUUGCUGUACACACCUUUUGGGAGAAGCCUAUUUGAUUAGAAUUUGCUAGAAUACUCUAUGUGCUUCACUUAUAUCUUUUAGAGCUUGAUAGUUUUUGCUCUAGUGCUUCACUUAUAUAUUUUAGAGCACGGUGGUGUCUUAAUUUUGAAGAAAUUGCUAGUCUCUCAUGCUUCACUUAUAUUAUUUUGAGAGUCUUUUAGAACCGCAUGGUAUUUGCUAUGGUUACAAAAUUGGUCCUAGAAUGAUGAGCAUCCAAGUUGGGUAUAAUAAAAACUAUCAUAAGAAGUGAAUUGGAUGCUAUGAUCAAUUUGAUACUUGAUAAUUGUUUUGAGAUAUGGAGGUAGUGAUAUUAAAGUCAUGCUAGUUGGGUGAUUAUGAAUUUAAAGAAUGCUUGUGUUGAAGUUAGCAAGUCCUGUAGCAUGCACGUAUGGUUAAAGUUGUGUAACAAAUUUGAAACAUGAAGUGUACCUGGCUUGUGCAUCCUUAUGAGUGGCGGUCGGGGACGAGCGAUGGUCUUUUCCUACCAAUCUAUCCCCCUAGGAGCAUGCGCGUAGUACUUGAUUUUUGAUGACUUCUAAAUUUUUGCAAUAAGUAUAUGAGUUCUUUUGACUAAUGUUGAGUCCAUGGAUUAUACACACUUCUACCUUUUCGCCAUUGCUAGCCUCUUCGGUACCGUGCAUUGCCCUUUCUCACCUUGAGAGUUGGUGCAAACUUCGCUGGUGCAUCCAAACCCCGUGAUAUGAUACGCUCUAUCACACAUAAACCUCCUUAUAUCUUCCUCAAAACAGCCACCAUACCUACCUAUUAUGGCAUUUCCAUAGCCAUUCCGAGAUAUAUUGCCAUGCAACUUUCCACCGUUCCAUUUAUCAUCAUCAUGCCAUACAUUACUUUUGUCAUAUUGCCAUUGCAUGAUCAUGUAGUUGACAUCAUAUUUGUGGCAAAGCCACCAUGCAUUAUUUUUCAUACAUUUCACUCUUGAUUCAUUGCACCAUCCCAGUACACCGCCGGAGGCAUUCAUAUAGAGUCAUAUCUUGUUCUAGUUUCGAGUUGUAAUUCAUAUGUUGUAAUGAAUGAAAGUGUGAUGAUCAUCAUUAUUAGAACAUUGCCCAAAGAAAAAAAAUAAGAAAGGCCAAAAAAAGGGAGGCCCCAAAAAAAAGAAAAAAAAGAAAAAAGAAAAAGAAAUAAAUAAAAAGGGCAAUGUUACUAUCUCUUUUUCCACACUUGUGCUUCAAAGUAGCACCUUGUUCUUCAUGUAGUGAGUCUCAUAUUUUGUGCUUCAAAGUAGCAUCAUGUUUUUCAUAUAGUGAGUCUCAUAAGUUGUCUUUUUCAUACUAGUGGGAAUUUUUCAUUAUAGAACUUGGCUUGUAUAUUCCUACGAUGGGCUUCCUCAAAUGCCCUAGGUCUUCGUGAGCAAGCAAGUUGGAUGCACACCCACUAGUUUUCUUUUGUUGAGCAUUCAUUUGUAGCUCUAGUGCAUCCGUUGCAUGCCAAUCCCUACUCCUCAUGUUGACAUCAAUUGAUGGGCAUCUCCAUAGCCCGUUGAUUAUCCUCGUCAAUGUGAGACUUUCUCUUUUUUUCUCUUCUCCACACAAUCCCCAUCAUCAUAUUCUAUUCCACCCAUAGUGCUAUAUCCAUGGCUCACGCUCAUGUAUUGCGUGAAGGUUGAAAAAGUUUGAGAUUAUUUAAGUAUGAAACAAUUGCUUGGCUUGUCAUCGGGGGUAUAGAAGUUGGGAACAUCUUUGUGUGACGAAAAUGAAGCAUAGCCUAACUAUAUGAUUUUGUAGGGAUGAACUUUCUUUUGCCAUGUUAUUUUGAGAAGACAUUAUUACUUUGAUUAGUAUGCUUGGAGUGUUACUAUUUCUUAUGUCAAUAUGAACUUUUAUUUUGAAUCAUUUGGAUCUGAACAUUCAUGCCACAAUAAAGAAAAUUACAUUAUAAAUUAUACCAGGUAGCAUUCCACAUCAAAAACUCUCUUUUUAUCAUUUACCUACUCGAGGACGAGCAGGAAUUAAGCUUGGGGAUGCUUGAUACGUCUCCAACGUAUCUAUAAUUUUUGAUUGUUCCAUGCUAUUAUAUUACCCCUUUUGGAUGUUUAUGGGCUUUAUUUUACACAUUUAUAUCAUUUUUGGGACUAACCUACUAACCGGAGGCCCAGCCCGUAUUGCUGUUUUUUUGCCUAUUUCAGUAUUUCGAAGAAAAGGAAUAUCAAACGGAGUCCAAACGGAAUGAAACCUUUGGGAGCGUGAUUUUUGGAACGAACGUGAUCUGGAGGACUUGGAGUGCAAGCCAAGAAACAGCCGAGGCGGCCACGAGAUAGGAGGGCGCCCCCCUGUAGGGCGCGCCCCCUGUCUCGUGGGCCCCUCGGGCGGCCACCGACGUACUCCUUCCUUCUAUAUAUACCUAUGUACCCCCAAAACAUCCAGGAGCACCACGAAACACAAUUUUCACCACUGUAACCUUUUGUAUCCACGAGAUCCCAUCUUGGAGCCUUCGUCGGCGUUCUGCCGGAGCGGGAAUCGACCACGGAGGGCCUCUACAUCAACAUCCUUGCCCUUCCGAUGAGUUGUGAGUAGUUUACCACAGACCUACGGGUCCAUAGUUAUUAGCUAGAUGGCUUCUUCUCUCUUUUUGGAUCUCAAUACAAUGUUCUCCCCCUCUCUUGUGGAGAUCUAUUCGAUGUAAUCUCUUUUUGCGGUGUGUUUGUCGAGAUCUGAUGAAUUGUGGGUUUAUGAUCAAGUUUAUCUAUGGAUAAUAAUUGAAUCUUCUCUGAAUUCUUUUAUGUGAUUGAGUUAUCUUUGCAAGUCUCUUCGAUUUAUCGGUUUGGUUUGGCCUACUAGAUUGAUCUUUCAUGCCAUGGGAGAAGUGCUUAGCUUUGGGUUCAAUCUUGCGGUGUUCUUAGCCAGUGACAGAAAGGAUUGCAAGACACGUAUUGUAUUGUUGCCAUCGAGGAUAACAAGAUGGGGUUUAUAUCAUAUUGCAUGAGUUUAUCCCUCUACAUCAUGUCAUCUUGCUUAAUGCGUUACUCUGUUCUUUGUGAGCUUAAUACUCUAGAUGCAGGCAGGAGUCGGUCGAUGUGUGGAGUAAUAGUAGUAGAUGCAGGCAGGAGUCGGUCUACUUGUUAUGGACGUGAUGCCUAUAUACAUGAUCAUGCCUAGAUAAUCUCAUAAUUAUUCGCUUUUCUAUCAAUUGCUCGACAGUAAUUUGUUCACCCACCGUAAUACUUAUGCUAUCUCGAGAGAAGCCUCUAGUGAAACCUAUGGCCCCCGGGUCUAUCUCUUAUCAUAUUUGCUUCCAAUCUACUUUUAUUUGCAUCUUUACUUUUUGCACCUAUAUUAUAAAAUACCAAAACUGUAUUUACCUUAUCAUACUAUCUCUAUCAGAUCUCACUUUCGCAAGUGACCGUGAAGGGAUUGACAACCCCUUUAUUGCGUUGGUUGCGAGUUCUAAGUUUGUUUGUGUAGGUGCAUGGGACUUUUGAGGAGCCUCCUACUGGAUUGAUACCUUGGUUCUCAAAAACUGAGGGAAAUACUUACGCUACACUUGCUGCAUCACCCUCUCCUCUUCGGGGAAAACCAACGCAAGCUCAAGACGUAGUAGGACGAAGUCUUCAAUCUUGUAUCUUCAUAGUCCAACAGUCCGGCCAAAGUAUAUAGUCCGGCUGUCCGAGGACCGCUUAAUCCCGGACUCCCUCAGUGGCGGAUCAAGAGACCUGGAUUUGGCAUGCUUUUUUGGAAUGUCUGGAUCUUUGAAUGACAUCAACGUUGUCAACCGGUCACCAGUGAUGAGUAAGAUUGCAAAUGGUGAACUGCCACCAGUGCAGUUUGUAGCUAAUGGUCGUACAUACAACCAUGGCUACUAUCUUGCGGAUGGCAUCUACCCAAAGUGGCAAACAUUUGUGAAGCCGUUGAAAAAACCGGAAGGUAAGAAAUAUCUUGAUUUACACAAUGCUCAGGUGGCGGCUAGAAAAGAUGUGGAGAGAGCUUUUGGGAUUUUGCAAUCCCAAUUUGCUAUUGUGAGAGGACCGUCUAGAUUUUGGGAUCAGAAGGUACAUAAUGCACGCUUGUGUGAUCAUGCGACAUGAUCAUCGAGUAUGAGCGUGGCCAAGAUGUAGACUACUCUCACUAUGAGCUCCUUGGACAUCCCGUGCGAGUGCGGCGGAGGGCUGAAAGGUGGCCCGUUUUGUUGCCUCCUAUCAUGUCAUUCGAUGUCUGGCAGCGCAUAAUGAACUCAAGAAGGAUCUCAUUGAGGAGUGGUGGGCUUGAAAUGGCCGCCAAAGAGCAUCAUGAUUUGUGCGUUUGAUGUUGUAUUGUUGAACUAUUUGUUGUAUUGUUGAACUAUUUGUUUGAUGAGUUGUAAUAAAUUGAACUAUUCGUUUUAAACUUGGUUGAAUGAUGUUUGUGAUUUAAAAAUUAUAUGCCAUGUCUUUGUUUCGUGGAUGUGUUGUGAGAUAAAAUGCAACAAAUGUGUGAUGCGCCGGCUGCUCGCACGCGCUGCAUUUUAGCGCACUGCUGGAGCUGCGCGCGUGCUGCAUUUUAGUGCGGCUGCUGGAGCCAGCGCUCGCCGCAAACCAGAUUUUGGCGCGCCGCGUGUUGGGCGCCUGUUGGAGAUGCUCUAAGAGCUAGCCUAUUUGGGACUGCUCCACUUCAUCAAAAUCAGCUUUAUUCCAGAAAAACCACUUUGGAGCAAUUCCACCCAGUAGUUCCAACUCCAUCAAAGAGCAUUUUAUCUUGUUUGGUCUUCCUGCUAGCUCCAAUUUAAGAAUGGAAGAUUUUAAUAAGAAAAAUCUAUUUAAUUGGUUGACAUGGGGGAAAACAAAACGAUAUCCACUUACCGAUAACAGCGGUGAUAAUUUUCUUUCAACACCAUGAGGACUUAUUGAUGAAUUUACCCAUUUCAAAAUUCUGAAGUGGGGUGUACCGAAGCAAGACUUAUUUCUGUUUCCUUAAGUGAGGGUCUACUUCGUUCUCAUAUUGGCAUCCUUUUGGCGAUGGAAGGCUUACCGACGCAGUGGUUCUCCUGUGAUUGUGAAACUCAAAAUGCAGGUCCCUGAUCCCUCAGCUUCUCCAACCUCUACUCAAAGUCCAUAUAAUAGAAGCUGUUAUAUAAUGUGGAUUCCUGAGAUACUAGUACUGAACAUGACAUGGUCCUUGCAGUGUUACUCUAGAGACAGAGUUAUAAGCCUAUUUAUGCUAAAGAACUAGUCUUUCCACAUUUACAUUCAGGUUCAGGUGUCCAUGCUUUGUAUGUCCUGUAACUAUACAGUUUCCUAAUUCUCAAGUUCCCUCCAUGCUCCAUGGACAGAAUGGGGCUGCAACUAUGAACGGCACCGGAGUUUUGCAUUCAGAUGACAUUUGGCUUCCUAACAAAAUGGGGUACUAUAUAUGUUUCAACAGUGCUCAAUGCAGAGUUGCAUAUUUUGAUUUGGACGACGAAAGCUUGCAUUUCCAAGUAAUUAUCAGAAAACACUGGCCUGAGAAACCUGAUUCAACCAUAGUACGAACAUGACAGAAAUAUAGAAAGCAAGAGCACUACUUGACUUCAUCAUCAUUCAAGCUAGCUAGUAGAUCUCAAAUAGUUGAUUUCAUCAUUCAUGGAAGAGCGAAUUGCAGUAAUACAAGAGCAGCUAGGUAGCAUCUUUUAGGGCGUUCUAGAUUCCAGAAGCAACAUUUUAACUAGGAUGAAACUUCAUAUCCAAGAAAGACUCGAACCAAACUCUGGACUCCCAGUUAAUCCAGCUAUGGCAUGUCACUCGGGUCAUGUUUCCAAUGCUUCAGUGGAAGCGCAGCUUCUCCUUGGGCCUGAUGUCAUUGCUGUGGCCGCACUUCUUCUUGCGGCAGUUUGUAGACCUGAGGGGCAGGCGUGCAUAGCACCUGCAACGCAAAAUCAUGGACAAGUUAGGAUAUACUCCCUCCGUAAACUAAUAUAAGAGCAUUUAGAUUACUAUUUUAGUGAUCUAAACGCUCUUAUAUUAGUUUACAGAGGGAGUACGUGCGUACUCUUGUGAAUGACUAUAGCUAGUACUUGUGGCAAAUAGAGUAAGGCAUCAACUAAUACUCCAUCCAAAUGGAGUACUUGGUUAUAAGUAUGCUAAUAAGCUACUCCCUCUGUCCCAUAAUGUAAGACAUUUUUUGCCACUACACUAGUGACAAAAAAACGUCUUACAUUAUGGGACGGAGGGAGUACUUUCCUGGAUCCAAACCACACAGAGAUAUGAUCUACAUAUGCAAUCAAUCCCCAUCGAACAAACGACAAAACAAACAUCGUAAUUCACAAUUAAGCUUCUGUCAUGCAUAGACAUCCAGAUACAAACAUGUAAAUAACAACAGCAUAUCCCAGCAUAUCAAUGUAUAUGGUGAAAGAAAUAGUCCAUCUACACCUCAACUAGUGCUUGAUAAAAAGUACACUAAUAAGCUACUCCCUCUAUCCCAAAAUACAAGUCCUUUUUCGACACUAUCAUAGUGUCAAAGAUGAUCUUAUAUUUUGGGACGGAGGGAGUAGUAGUUAUCGGGAUCCAAACCACACACAGAGAUAUGAUCCCCAUUGAACAGAGCACAACAGAAACAUGGCAAUUCACAAGCUCAUAGACAAAAACAUGCAUGUAACAGCGGCAUAUCGAUGCAUUGGAUAGUGAAAGAAAUAGUCCAAAGGUGUACAUACUUGCGACACACAAGCUUGUGCUGCCUGUACUUGAGCGCAAGCGCCAGCAGGUUAGGCUCCAACCUGUGCGGGUAGCACGAGCCCCUGUCACCGCCGGCGAGGCGCAGCAGGAGGUGAAGCGUGGACUCCUUGUGGAUGUGGUAGUCGGCCAGGGUGCGGCCAUCGUCAAGCUGCUUCCCCGCGAAGAUGAGGCGCUGCUGGUCCGGCUGGAUACCUGCGAUUAUCGAAACCAACACAGGGUCCACAGUUAGUUUGGCACCACAAGACGCCGCAGUUUUAUGGAGGAGAUGAAAACUGUACGCUGUGAAACAGAGGAUCUGCUCAGAUCCAGGCGGAUGUCCUAGAAAAGGAGCCUAAUUUGUCCUACGGCGAGGUCAAUUGCAAGUCAAUCCAACAUUAUGGAACCCUGGUAUAAAUUAAUAAGCUAGCGGGAAAGCCAUGAUAUUUUCUAACCAAAAAAUGCUCGUCAGGGAGGUGGAUCUGCUCUGAAUCGGGGCAAGAUUAUGAAACAACCACAUUCGAUCGAACAUAUUGCUUAUAACAUGACCAGAUUGAGGAGGCGCGUGCGAUAAAACGAAGCAAGAAGGCACAGUCAUGGGCGAAGGCGGAGGGCGCGUACCUUCCUUGUCGUGGAUCUUGGCCUUGACGCUGUCGACGGCCGCGAAGCUCUCCACCUCGAGCGCCAUGGUCUCCCCCGUCAGCGUCUUCACGAAGAUCUGCAUCCUUGCCGCCGGUUGGAGGUUGCUCGCCGCGCCGGAUGGUGGUGGAGUGGUGAGAAUGGAAGCGCCGCGGACGUGGGUGCGGUUUUGUAGGAGGAAACGCUGCCGUCAAAGAAAACCCCGAAUACCUAGCGAAGUGAGGCCAUGAAGGCCGGGACUCGGUCGGAGGAGCCACACUCUACAGUUUGUGGCCCAUUGAAGGCCCAAGUUCUAAGGCCGCUUUCAUUUUCUUUCCAAACAUAAUGAUCUGAUCAUGUCUUAAAAGCAAGUCGUCCAAUUGUUGCGGGAAUUAUUUUGCAUUUAUGCAUUCCAAACGGGGCAGCUAUAUUCGCAGCGUCCAUAAGUUUUAUUCUUUGUUUCCCGCAAAAAAAAAGUUUUAUUCUUUGUAAAAAAAUUGAGUAUUUAUUGGCCAAUUAAUAUCUGGUAAUUCCAAUUACAAAAUAAAAUAUGGAACUAAUAUGAACAGUCCAAUCUUGCAAAGUGUCAAUCUGAACCUCUUGACACAAUAGAAGUAUUUGUAUAUAAAUAUAUUUUAUGCACUACUUAAGAUUUAAAUUCUUUUGUCAUAAUUUAUUUGAUUAAGAAAAAGUAUACCCGUUUUCGAAACUGCUAAGUAGUACCACAAAGAAAUUAAAAUGAUAAUCUGUGGUUCAAAAGAUCAGGUAAACGGUGUUACAGUUCUUGCUAGACAAGGUAACUUGUGUCAAGGAAAAUUUUCAUACCAUAAAUAGUCUCAUUUGCUUUUUCCGCAUUAAGUUGAUGGUAAUAUAGUUGAGUAUAGCUGCACACGACCAACACUUAUCUUAGAUAUUGAUUAUGCAUCAUGGAGUCUCAUAAACAUUGCAUAAGCAACAAGUCGCAUUUUAUUAAGGACUAAUUUAGAUAUUUCAUUAAACCAUAAGCCCUAUUUUAUUUGCCAUUUUAGUUGAAUAUCUAAACCCUUCUGCCUUUUGGUGUUCUACCCCAAGACUCACCUUGGUACUUUGCACAUGUCCUUUUCGUGAUAUUUUCAAGCUACCCAAAUUAUCUCACAUUUUCCCAUCUGUUAUGAACCACUUCUAGUUCAAUCCCAUUUAUCCAUCAUAAUGGAUAUAUUUUCUAAAUAAAUUACAAAUGCGCAAAUGGGUUAAUUACUUCCGUGUGGCCUUAGUAUGGCCUAGAAAGGCUAAAUUUAAAAUUUCAAAUCAUUUGGAGCUUGUUUACUGAAGGAAAUAUGCCCUAGAGGCAAUAAUAAAGUUGUUAAUUUAUAUUUCCUUAUAUCAUGAUAAAUUUCUAUUAUUCAUGCUAGAAUUGUAUUAACCGCAAACUUAAUACAUGUGCGGAUACAUAGACAAAACAUAGUGUCCCUAGUAUGCCUCUACUUGACUAGCUCGUUAAUCAAAGUUGGUUAAGUUUCCUAGCCAUAGACAUGUGUUAUCAUUUGAUUAACGGGAUCACAUCAUUCACAUCAUUAGGAGAAUGAUGUGAUGGACAAGACCCAUCCGUUAGCAUAGCAUAAUGAUCGUUCAGUUUUAUUGCUACUGUUUUCUUCAUGUCAAAUACAUAUUCCUCCGACUAUGAGAUUAUGCAACUCCCGGACACCGGAGGAAUGCCUUGUGUGCUAUCAAACGUCACAACGUAACUGGGUGAUUAUAAAGAUGCUCUACAGGUAUCUCUGAAGGUGUUUGUUGAGUUGGCAUAGAUCGAGAUUAGGAUUUGUCACUCCGAGUAUCAAAGAGGUAUCUCUAGGCCCUCUCGGUAAUGCACAUCAUAUGAAGCCUUGCAAGCAAUGUGACUAAUGAGUUAGUUACGGGAUGAUGCAUUACGGAACGAGUAAAAAGACUUGUCGGUAACAAUAUUGAACUAGGUAUGAAGAUACCGACGAUCGAAUCUCGGGCAAGUAACAUACCAAUGACAAAGGGAAUAAUGUAUGUUGUCAUUGGGGUUCGAUCGAUAAAGAUCUUCGUAGAAUAUGUGGGAACCAAUAUGAGCAUCAGGGUUCUGCUAUUGGUUAUUGAUCGGAGAGGUGUCUCGGUCAUGUCUACAUAGUUCUCGAACCCGUAGGGUUCGCACGCUUAACGUUCAAUGACGAUUUGUAUUAUAUGAGUUAUGUGUUUUGGUGACCGAAUGUUGUUUGGAGUCCUGGAUGAGAUCAUGGACAUGACGAGGAGUCUCGAAGUGGUCGAGAGGUGAAGAUUGAUAUAUUGGAAUGUAGUAUCCGGACACUAGAAGUGUUUCGGAAUGUAUCGGGUACAUAUUGGAGUACCGGAGGGGUUACCGGAACCCCCCAGGGAAAGAUAUGGGCCAUAUGGGCCAUAGGAGGGAGGCACUACAUCCCACAAAGGGGUGGCUCGUCCCCACCAGGGAGGAGACCGAAUAGGACUAGGGGAGGGGGCGGCUCCCCCCUUUCCUUCUCCCACUCUCUCUCCUCUCCCCUUUCCGCCUGCGAUAAAAGGAAGGGGGGCCGACCCCAAGUAGGACUCCUCCUACUUGGGACGCGCCCAGGGCCGGCCUCCUCUCCCUCCCUCCUUUAUAUACGGGGGGAGCCCCUACAACACACAUCAGUUGUUCCAAGCCAUCUGUGGCGCCCCCCCCCAUAGUUUACGCCUCCGAUCAUAUUCUCGUGGUGCUUAGGUGAAGCCCUGUGCGGAUCACAUCACCAUCACCAUCACCGUCACCACGCCGUCGUGCUGACGGAACUCAUAUACUUCCUCGACCCUCUACUGGAUCAAGAGCUCGAGGGACGUCAUCGCGCUGAACGUGCAGAACUCAGAGGUGUCAAAAGGGUUCACCAUGAUAAGCUCGAACCCAAAUCGGAGAAGUGUGUCUUCAUAGGAUGCCCUAAAGAAACAAUUGGGUACACCUUCUACCACAGAUCCGAAGGCAAGAUCUUUGUUGCCAAGAAUGGAACCUUUCUAGAGAAGGAGUUUCUCUCGAAAGAAGUGAGUGGGAGGAAAGUAGAACUUGAUGAGGUAAUUGUACCUUCUCUCAACUUUGAAAGUAGCUCAUCCGAGAAAUCCGUUCCCGUGAUGCCUACACCAACUAGACAGGAAGCUAAUAAUAGUGAUCAUGAAAGUUCAGAUCAAGUUACUAUUGAACCUCGCAGGUCAACCAAAGCACGAUCCGCGGUAAUCCUGUUCUAGAAGUCAUGUUACUUGACCAUGACGAACCUACGAACUAUGAAGAAGCUAUGAUGAGCCCAGAUUCCGAUAAAUGGCUUGAGGCCAUGAAAUCUGAGAUAGGAUCCAUGUAUGAGAACAAAGUGUGGACUUCGGUGGAUUUGCCUGAUGAUUGGCAAUCCAUAAAAAAUAAAUGGAUCUUCAAGAAGAAGACUAACGCUGAUGGUAAUAUUACUAUCUACAAAGCGACUUGUCGUAAAAGGUUUUCGACAAGUUCAAGGGGUUGACUACGAUGAGGCUUUCUCAACCGUACCUAUGCUUAAGUCCGUCCGAAUCAUGUUAGAAAUUGCCACAUUUUGUGAAAUCUGGCAAAUGGAUGUAAAAACUGCAUUCCUUAAAUGGAUAUAUCUAAGAAGAGUUGUAUAUGAUGCAACCAGAAGGUUUUGUCGAUCCUCAGUGUGCUAACAAAGUGUGCAAGCUCCAGCGGUCCAUCCAUGGACUGGUGCAAGCAUCUCGGAGUUGGAAUAUACACUUUGAUAAGGUGACCAAAGAAUAUGGUUUUAUACAGACUUACGGUGAAGCAUGUAUUUACAAGAGAGUGAGUGGGAGCUCUGUAGCAUUUCUGAUAUUAUAUGUGGAUGACAUAUUGUUGAUUUGGAAAUGAUAUAGAAUUUCUGGAUAGCAUAAAAGGAUACUUGAAUAAGAAUUUUUCAAUGAAAAACCUCGGUGAAGCUACUUACAUAUUGGGCAUCAAGAUCUAUAGAGAUAGAUCAAGAUGCUUGAUAAGACUUUCGAUGUGUACAUACCUUGACAACAUUUUGAAAAAUUUCAAAAUGGAUCAGUCAAAGAAGGAGUUCUUGCCUAUAUUACAAGGUGUAAAGUUGAGUAAGACUCAAAACCCGACCACAACAGAAAAUAGAAAGAGAAUGAAAAUCAUUCCCUACACCUCAGCCAUAGGUUCUAUAAAGUGUGUUAUGCUGUGUACCAGACCUAUUGUGUACCUUAUCAUGAGUUUGGCAAGGGGGUACGAUAGUGAUCCAGGAGUGGAUCACUGGACAUUGGUCAAAAUUAUCCUUAGUUACCUAAGAGGACUAAGGAAAUAUUUCUCAGUUAUGGACGUGAUAAAGAGUUCGCCGUAAAGAAUUACGUCGAUGCAAUCUUUUACACCGAUCCGGAUGACUUUGAGUCUCAAUAUGGAUACAUAUUGAAAGUGGGAGCAAUUAGCUAGAGUAGAUCCAUGCAAAGCAUUGUAGACAUAUUUUUUUUGCAAAAUACAUACGACUCUAAAUAUGGCAGACCAAUUGAAUAAACUUCUCUCACAAGCAAAACAUGAUCACACCUUAGUACUCUUUGGGUGUUAAUCACAUAGCGAUGUGAACUAGAUUUUUGACUCUAGUAAACCCUUUGGGUGUUGGUCACAUGGCGAUGUGAACUAUUGGUGUUAAUCACAUACAGAUAUGAACUAUUGAUGUUAAAUAACAUGGCGAUGUGAACUAGAUUAUUGACUCUAGUGCAAGUGGGAGACUGAAGAAAAUAUGCUCUAGAAGCAAUAAUAAAGUUGUUAAUUUAUAUUUUCUUACAUCAUGAUAAAUGUCUAUUACUCAUGUUAUAAUUGUAUUAACCGAAAACUUGAUACAUGUGUGGAUACAUAGACAAAAUACUGUGUCCCUAGUAUGCCUCUACUUCACUAGCUCGUUAAUCAAAGAUGGUUAAGUUUCCUAGCCAUAGACAUGUGUUGUCAUUUGAUGAACGAGAUCACAUCAUUACGAGAAUGAUGUGAUGGACAAGACCCAUCCGUUAGCAUAGCAUAAUGAUCGUUCAGUUUUAUUGCUACUGCUUUCUUCAUGUCAAAUACAUAUUCCUCCGACUAUGAGAUUAUGCAACUCCUGGACACCGUAGGAAUGCCUUGUGUGCUAUCAAACGUCACAAAAGUAACUGGGUGAUUAUAAAGAUGCUCUACAGGUAUCUCCGAAGGUGUUUGUUGGGUUGGCAUAGAUCGAGAUUAGGAUUUGUCACUCUGAGUAUCGGAGAGGUAUCUCUGGGCCCUCUCAGUAAUGCACAUCAUCUGAAGCCUUGCAAGCAAUGUGAUUAAUGAGUUAGUUACAGGAUGAUGCAUUACGAAACGAUUAAAGAGACUUGCCGAUAACGAGAUUGAACUAGGUAUGACGAUACCGACGAUCGAAUCUCGGGCAAGUAACAUGCCGAUGACAAAGGGAAUAACGUAUAUUGUCAUUGGGUUCGACUGAUAAAGAUCUUCGUAGAAUAUGUGGGAACCAAUAUGAGCAUCCAGGUUCUGCUAUUGGUUAUUGACCGGAGAGGUGUCUCGGCCAUGUCUACAUAGUUCUCGAACCCAUAGGGUUCGCACGCUCAACAUUUGUUGACGAUUUCUAUUAUAUGAGUUAUGUGUUUUGCUGACCGAAGGUUGUUCGGAGUCCCAGAUGAGAUCACAGACAUGACAAGGAGUCUUGAAAUGGUUGAGAGGUAAAGAUUGAUAUGUUGGAAGGUAGUAUUCAGACACCAGAAGUGUUCCGGAAUGUAUCAGGUACAUAUCGGAGUACCGGAGGGGUUACUGGAACCCCCGGGGAAAGAUAUGGGCCAUAUGGUCCAUAGGAGGGAGGCACACCAGCCCACAAAGGGGUGGCGCACCCCCACCAGGGAGGAGACCGAAUAGGACUAGGGGAGGGGGCGGCGCCCCCCUUUCCUUAUCCCCCUCUCUCUCCUUUCCCCUUUAGGACCCCAAGUAGGACUCCUCCUACUUGGGGCGCGCCUAGGGCCGGCCUCCUCUCCCUCCCUCCUUUAUAUAGGGGGGAGCCCCUACAACACACAUCAGUUGUUCCAAGCCGUGUGCGGCACCCCCCUCCACAGUUUACGCCUCCCGUCAUAUUCUCGUGGUGCUUAGACGAAGCCCUGUGCGGAUCACAUCACCAUCAUCGUCACCACACUGUCGCGCUGAUGGAACUCAUCUACUUCCUCUACCCUCUGCUAGAUCAAGAGCUUGAGGGACAUCAUCGCGCUGAACGUGUGCAGAACUCGAAGGUGCCGUACAAUGGGAACUUGAUCGGUCGAAACAAGAAGACAUUCGACUACAUCAACCGUGUUAAGCAAACGCUUCCGUUUUCGAUCUACGAGGGUACGUGGACACACUCUCCCCUCUCGUUGCUAUGCAUCUCCUAGAUAGAUCUUGCGUGAGCGUAGGAUUUUUUUUGAAAUUGUAUGCUACGUUUCCCAACAUUUAUUGCCCCAAUAUUUAAUAUACAAUCAUUGUACGUUUAAUUAAGAAAAUUAUUUUAUUAAAUAAAAUUGGUUUUGGGCUAGCCAUGAGCGCAAUUAACUAAACUACGCUUGUAGGCGUAGUCCUAGUCGUUCCCUCUCUACCUAGGCCCAAUAGCCCAUCUUUAUAACCAGCUACCCCAUGGAAACACUCCCCAAAGACACACACAAACAAACCCUAACCCUAGCUAGAGCUGCAACUGAUCUAAUACAAGCCACCAACAUGUCUUGAGAUCCUUGUCACCAAGAUCAUAUACGGACGGGCACGCCGCCGCCCUAGUCCAUGAACCUGUACAACACCAACGUGUUACUGCCGUUUUCCAUCAGAACUACUCCACCUCAUACCUUGGCCGCUCGAGCCGCCACCUAGCACCGACAACCCUUCGCGAACCUCGUAAAAUAUAUCAAGCAAAGCAUGUUCUUUAAUAUUAUGAUAUGAGUUUCUCCUUUGAAAAUCACAAAACCUCCCCAAAGCUUAAGGCAAAGCCUCAUGCCUGUUUUGAGAAAAAAUGAAUUUCUCUAAUUAUGGCAUGUUGCUUAUGAUGUGGCAUAUAUUUUCCCAUAAAAGAAGAUCCUAACUUUGAAACUUCGUAUGCUCAUAGAUGAUAAAAUAUUGAAUUGAGCAACCCCUCCUAGUGAGGAAAGAAAUAGCUUAAGCAUAAUGAGAGGGAGACUAGUGCCCUUUUUCUUAAAUAGUCUAGCAAAAUCUUCAACUUUGUGAAGAUGAUCAAAAACACUUUAACUAUCCAAUCCGUGAAAGUUUAGAGUUACAUAAAUUUUAAUAACUCCGGGUUCCAUAGGAAAAUCAUAAGCAUCAUGUUCAACAUAUAUAGGAGAGGCACAAAAUUCAUCAUCGGGUAAAAACGAGUCUCCUAUAUCUCUUUCUUUAAAUAAUUUUCCAAAGCAUAUGGAUCUUUAUCAGUGUCACAUUCUCUAAUAGCUUUGGCAAAUAUCGAUUCAAGUUUAGGGGAUUGGUUGGAGUAGGUGGUGUUCUCAAAAUAGGAGUAGGUGGUGUUAUCAAAGUGGGAGUGGAUGGUUCAUCUUCAAGUAUUUUCUUUUCUUUUAAUAUAGCAAAAUGAGCAUCAAGUAGUUCUCCCAAAGGAGGAGAUUCAGUAGCAAUGACGAUGUGGUGACUGUAGUUGUUUAUGCAACAAAGCAGUUUCACAACAGCAAAAAUACUGAGCAAUUGCGAAGUACAAGUAACUUAAAAGAGCAGCAGUAGCGUUAAAAUGUAGGUAUAGGGAUGGAUAUUGGGAUAUUUCAUGGAUGAUUUCUAAAUCCCAAAGACAAUUCAUGCGGGUCACUUCCUAGGUCAUGUUCUAAAUUUAUUGUAGGCAUGCAACCCAUAACUUGAGAGACAUGCUUAAGAAGAACUUGCCUCUCGUCUAUACUCAUGCCCUCCCUUGUAAAGCGGUACUAAGAGCAAACAAAAGGUAAUUAAAGUGACAUUAGGGUCAACCAACACAAUGCAUUAACACACUAUGAGUACAUGUUAUUCUCAAAGCAAAGCCAUCCCUUUGAUAUACUUUGUCAUUCUCAGGGUCUCUGGAUCAAAUUUAUAAUAGGUGCAUAUGACUUGCAGUUACAAUCAUGAACAAAUAGACAUAACAGUUCAGAUCUAAAAUCAUACUACUCGGGCCCUAGUAAUAAGCAUUGGUCAUGGCAAAGUCAUAACAACAUCAAUGCUCAAACAACUAUUACACUAGGAAUCAUCUCCACCAUCAAUAUGAAGUCUAAUACAUGAUAAAUCUCAUACAAUUCCCAUCCAUCCCAUGUUCCCAUAGCGGAUUACCCACACAUCAUGGUGGAGAGCAUGAUGACGGUGAUGAAGAAGGGGUUGACAGUGGUAUUGGUGAAGAAUUGUCCUCUUCGGAGGAAAACCCUAGCCUCCAGCAGCCCUUCGAGUGAAAAAUGGUGGUGGCGGCGUCUCUGUGUCGCAGAAAAAUCAUCGAUAAUUUGAAGGAGUAUUUUGGAGAAAUAUGCACCAGACGCUGGCCAAGGGAGCCAUGCAGGUUGUAGGCGCUUUGCCCCCCUGGAUGCCAAGGGGGGCGCCUACGCAAUGUGGGUCACCCUCUAAUUCUUCCAAUUGUUCUUCGUGCAGAUCCACGAAGUGCUGGCGUACCUCUAAUAUCAGCAUGUGUGGAUACCUCGGAGGUGUAUUCUUCUUCAUCACUAGAUCGGCGGAUCGUUCCAAAGAAAUUCUCACGGCUGGGAGAUACAACCUAGCUGUGGGAAUCGGCGAAACUUCACCAACUCCUCCUCCUUUACUCCCGCUGCAUGAGUCAUUGGUAGGAUAAUCGUCACUUGUACCUUCGUAGUGUUUGUUGGUGUGAUUAUGCGCAAAUAUUUUGUUGUUGUUGUGUCAUUCCCUUAUAAUUAGUACUUGCAUGCUUCUUUUGAUGGCCACCUCUUGCAUGGCUUGGUUAGUGUCAAAAACGCUCUUAUAUUAUAUGGGACGGAGGGAGUAGCAUUUAUAUGCCCAUGCCAAAAUGCUAACCAACAUCUUUGAGAAAAUGAAAUCUUUGGCCAAAAAAAAACUACUUCAUUGGGGACAGAUCUGUUCCCAACCACAGGACCGAUUGCCUCAUUUGGGAUAGAUCUGAAGCUUCUUUAUUCAGCGCCGCCAUCGCCACUGCCGAAACGAAGAUGUGAGCAGCCGAAAAACCUAAACUAUUAGGGCCUGAAUUAAAGCUACACGAUCCACACUCGUAGAUCCGGCGACCCCCCUCACCACCGACGACCGAGGUCGUCAGUGGAGGAGAGCCGCCGAAGGAACGAGCCGGAUGGGGCUCUCCUGGGGGCAUAGGGUUUCUGGUCGCCUACCCGAGAGAACAGACGAACAGAACGAUAUAGCUGCUCCAAGGAGAUACUCAAAGUACUACCUGGCUCGCUGCUGACCACCAAGUUUGGCAAGAUUGUUCGUUUUCACUUUUCACUGCAGAUACGGGUCGCAACUCGGCUGAGUAGGCCUUUAUCUCAAGAAAGUGCAUGUGUGUUGAAUCCUUCGGAUACAUAAAAAAGAAGGCGGUUAUGUGGCUUACGGUUCUAGACUAGUAGAUACUAGUACUGAACAUGACAUGGUCCUUGCGUAGUGCACAAAUCCGUCUCCCUGCUGUACCGAUGGACCUCUGAAUCAGGUGCCAGAAACAAGCACGGAUAUGUCUUGCCACAUUUAAAUUCAGGUUCAGGUGUCCAUGCUUUGUAUGUCUUGUAAGUUGUAACUGCACUGUUUCCUAAAUUCUCAAGUUGUGGACACAAGUUCUCCUAGUAUGGUGUCCGAUAUGGAAGUUAUCUUGUCGGGAAAAGUCAAAAAAAUUAUAUGCCGUAUGUUACAUGGCACACUCCCAUGUCGGGUCACGCUCGCUAAUAAACACAUGAAGGUCUCGCCCAUUUGCCCUACUUGCUCUUAGGGUUUAGAAGAUACGAAACACAUGCUUUUCCUCUGCUGUAACGCAAAAGAGGCUAGGGAUGGAUGAGACUAUUGAUAAAGCUUGUUAGGUUAAUCAUGCUGGAGAGGCGAUAAUGGAAUACCUUCUACUUAUUCCAGACCAAGGUUUGCGUAUUAUGGGAUAUCAAAAUGUACGAGUAAUGGUAGCUAUUUCGGCUUGGUAUCUAUGAUGGGAAAGGCGAAAAUUAGUGUGCAAGGAAUUAACUCAGAAUGCAACUCAGAUAUCAAAGGGGGUCAUAGCCCUCACGUCAAACUUUGUAAAUGCAUCAUCUCCAAAGACUUCCAUGAAACAGGGGAGUUGGUAUUGUCCUCCUAGGGAUUUUGUGAAACUUAAUGUUGACGCCUCUUUUGAUCAUGACAUGCUGAAGGGUACGAUGGGGGCAGUUCUGAGAGACAACAAGAUAGGUUUAUUGCUGGAGGAAAUAAAAGAUUAACUAUUGUGCGGAUGUUCUGAUGGCAGAAGUUUUAGCUCUCAAAUUUGGCCUAAGAUUGACGCAAAAGGCAGAUUGUAAUCGCGUAAUUAUCAACUCAGACAAUCUAGAGGUGAUUGAGAUCAUGCACUGAUGCAGAAUGGAGGACAAUUGGCGGGUGCGGCGGCGGCAAUUUUCGAUGACUGUUAUCACUAUGUUGUGAUUUUGUUGUGACUGGAUUCGAACAUUGUAAUACGAAGGUAAAUAAAGUAGCUCAUGAACUCGCUAGAUUAGCUAGAUUUUAUUCGACUUCGGAUUGGUUUGAGGAGCCUCUAAAUGAAACUAGUGAUCCUCACAAAUGAUGUACUGGUUAUUUCUAAUGAAUAAAGUCUUGAUUUAAUUCAAAGAAAAGUUCUCUUAGUAUGGUCCCAGGAAUUUCAUCUACGAAGCUACCGUAUGAUCUGAUCGACAAGGGCUGGCAGUAUAUAUGUGGCAACAAGCAUGGAUUCUGCGAAGGUGACAAGGUAAAGCGAUUCCAGCGAUGCGACUCUGUUUUGCAUGCUCCUAACAAAAUUUCAUCUAUGGUUCUACUGUUUCCAGGUAUGGCAGCAAAUACAGAGUUUCAUAUAUUUUUUCAAGCAACUGACUAGUGUGACAUAUCACUUGCAUGUUCUGUUUCACUUUACCCCAUUUAACAAUCAACAGUGUGAACUAGAGCUUCUUUGUUAAGAAGGGCACAACAGUCUUUUGAACAUUUAUAGAAACUCAUAUUGUAUGGCAUCGUAUGUACGUACAUUUUGUAUACCCAUUCAAUCUUAUAUUUCCCCCUAUCAAGAUUCAAUCUUAUAUUUAUAGUACAUUUUUUAAUAACUAGUACAUUAUUUAUGUAUUCCUUCUUUUUUUGUGGUAAAAACAUGUUUAAGAAUUGAAAAGGAAAUGUUGUUAUUCAAAAAAAAGCCCGAAAAAAAUGAUCAUUGUGAAUUUUGAAUGGCCAUCAUGUAUUUGAAAAACAUCCAUCACGUGUUCAAAAAUUUAAUCAUGUAUUAAAAAUAUGUGCGCCGUGUAUUUCAAAAGGUUUUGUCACAUAUUUUUAAAAAUGGUCGUCAUAUAAUUUAAAGAAUAUGCAUAUGUAUAAAAAGUAAACAAAAUUAAAAUGAGAAGAACAAUAAAAAACCUGAAAUAAAAAAAUCCAAGAACAAAACAUAAGAGCCUAAACAGGCGAAAUGGGGAAGUAAUAAACUGAAACCAAACCGUAAAAAAACAGUCUGGAUACCCAGAUAAUGGGCCUACCCACAUGACGCAUGCUUGGGCAUGUGGCAUUUCCCAUCGUUAUGCGCAUCAACUAAGUUUUCUUUUAUCUAUAAAAAUCAAUAAGUUUUUUUUGGGCUAUGCGUCACUUAGCGAUAGCCUAGAAUUGCCUGUGUUGCACUCAUUGCGGCUCAUUAAGAUAAAUGCAUUUUUCUGGAAUUUUGUUAAACUAGAUAAUAACUAAGAGCCCAUCUGGGACACUAUGUGACACUAGAAGAACACCCGUGCGUUGCAACGGGGCCACACUAACUUUAAGAGUUCAAUAUUAAUUAUGUUAAUAUUACAUUUAAUAUUCUCAUACAUAUCAAGUGACAUUGACGACCUUUUUAUCAUCAAAUUCUCUCACACACACUCUCCCUCCCUCCUCCUCACUCUCUCUCCCCCUCUCCCUCUCUCUCUCUAACACACACAUAUCCAUCUUAUUGGGUACGGGACCAUAAUCCAUCUAUUUCACACGCACACGCGCUAGUGCAUAACAAUAUGGAUUAUAAAACAGGUUCAAGGUAGUAACAAGGAUUCUUCUCAUGCAUUAAUAAAUAAAUAUUCUGCACUGAAGACAAGAUAACCAAUUCCCAAAGUGCAUCAGAGCAUCACAGAACAUUACUGGCAAAAUAAAUGCAUGACGAUACACCCGACUCAUUUAAUUAAUAUAAUUAAAUUAUCAGUAAAUUAGUCACCAAACUGCUCGGAUGAACCGGAACAGAGCCAACAUAUAUCAUCCUAGACAAACGCAACAUCAACCAUUUACCUUGGUACUUUAGGGACCGACAGGAGGAUGCAUGUAGAAGCGCUUCUUGCCUGCGAAUCCACAGUCAGAGAGAGAAAUUGGAACCCAUUCCCAUCAUCAACUGAUAAAGAAAGCAUGUAAGAAAAUUGAUAUCGGGCCAACUUGGAUCUUCGGUGAUUGUCCGCCGGUAUGGAGAAUUUAGGAGGGUGGGUGCAGGGAGUGGCCUUGUGGAUGAUGGAUGGAGGCGCGGAGGGAUGUGGUCACCGGAAGGUCGAAAGCGGAGAGGGCCGGGCAUGUUAGGUGGAGCCGGUGGUGCGCGACAACCGAAGGCGGCCCAAUCGUGGGCGGCGAACCGACGAUAGCCUCGGCCCAUCUCUCGACGCAGCGAAGAUAGAGAGGGCGGCACUGCCGGUGCUCGAGGCCACCGCUCGGCACCAUCUACAUCAAGGGGAAAGAGAGGCGAGAAAGCGAUAGGGUGAUGCGGGGCUAGGGAUUGCGAAGGAGGGUGGGGGUGUGCGAUUUGAAUGGAUGGUUCUGCCCACCGUUUUCUUGUACGUGGCGGUGGAGACGGUGGCGUCCAGCCAUGCAGGCGAGGCAUGGGUCGAGUCGGGCACACGGCGAGGCGCAGUAGCAGAGGCGGGGGCGAUUUUUUGCUACUGAGAUGCAGGGUGUGGGAUUGAUCGUUCAUGUUCUCUUUUCCUAUUUAACGGGAGAUGGAUGCGAUUUUUUCACGAGGGGAGAGAUGCGGCCACGUACAGAUUCCAUAAUAAAUUAAUUAGGUCCAUAACGGGAUUUCUUUACAAUGCGUUAAGAUUUACGUGUUAGUUUUCUUAAUAAAGAAAUGCACUGAUGUAGGGAUCGAUUGAUUCGGAUAAGGAAAGAUAGAUUCGUGAUCUUUUGUAUGUUAGGAAAUUAGUGGUUUGCAAGGAAAGAGUGGAGAGAAAAAGAACCAAUGCGACCACGUAUAGAUUCCAUAAUAAAUUAAUUAGGUCCAUAACGGGAUUUGUUUGCAAUGCGUUAAGAUUUACGUGUUAGUUUUCUUAAUAAAGAAAUGCACUGAUGUAGGGCGCGAUUGGUUCGGGUAAGGAAAGAUAGAUUCGUGAUCUUUUGUAUGUUAGGAAAUUAUUGGUUUGCAAGAAAAGAGUGGAGAGAAAAGAACCAGUACGAGGGGGUGGUGGGAGGUGGGACGAAUAAAAACCGGACGAAAUUGGGAGGUGGGAGGGGGCGAGUAAAAACCGACGAAAAAACCAACGAAAUUGGGAGGUGGGAGAGAGGAUGAAAAAAAAUCAGGGGAGGUGGGAGGAGGACAAAAAUAAACCGUACGAGGCUACCAACUGCUCCAUUAGGAGUAGAGAUUGCUUGUGAAAAUAACAUGCGACGACGACUUAGCGAGCGGAUCCCCUUAAAAAAGACAUAUCGAGCAGAUUCCCUUAAAACUGGUAGAAAUGGAUACGAUUGAUAACAUUGAUAAAUAGUGGUGAAUGUUGGCAUAAUUUACUAUCAUCAUGCAUGAAAACGAAUCAUCAAGAAAAAUAAUACUUCCUAUUACUACACUCAUAGGAAGCUUCCUAAUCUCUGCUACCAAACAGUUUCUGCCCAAACAAGGAAGGAAAGUUAUGGAUGUGAUUCGAAAGGAAACAAACGUUAUGAAGAUUAAUUAAUUUAGAUUUGAUCUUUAGAGAUUGAUUGUGAUUGAUUCUUUUACAUAAAGACAUUACUAAAUAAUUUGCGUCAGUAUGGAAAGUUCUGAUCCGUUCAGUUUUUUUCGUUGUGUGAGAGGGUGAAGUGAAAAUAAACCGAUGAAGUGGGGGAGGCGACGAAAAAAAUCUACGACAGUUAACCUACGAAAAAAACCGGACGAAAGUGGUGGGACGAAAAUUGACCGGCAAAGACUACCAACUGCUCCAUUAGGAGUAGAGAUUGGUUGGUUCGAUUUUUUUUUGCGUGGAGGGAACUACCUGAGAGGUGGGAGGGAGUAUGAAAAUAAACCGUCUCGGCUGAGCGGGAGGUGGGAGCAAGUACCAAAGAAGUACCAAAAAAGACCGGGUGAGGUGGGACGAAAAUAAAACCCGGAACGCGACCUACCAACUGAGACAUUAGGAGUAGAGAUAUUAACAAAAAUGCAGAUCACGUCCCACUCUUCACUUUUUGACAAAAAAACUUCCGAAUAGCAAUCUUGGUGAGUGAUCUCGACCGGGUUCGAUCGGCAUGGCGUGUCGUUUCUUCAGGAGUGGGUGCUGAGAGGAAGGAUGGCAAACCUCCAUUGUCAAUCGGCCGGAGCUGCAUCAUCAUUUGGAUCAGAGCAUGGACGAAAUCGAGAUGGUAGAGGUUGAGGAAUUUGUAGGACGUGAGGGUUUAGGGUGGGCAUCACGAGAACUCACCCAUAUCUUGGGAGACGGCAGACCCGAGGUGCAGUCGUGUUCGUGCUUCAGGGGCUGCCACGUGCUGUCCUCACCGCCAUCGCCUGUCGAUGCCACUUCAGCGCCACGAGCAUGGGACUGAGGGACGAAGGGAAGAGAAGGGAAGGAAGCGAGCUAAUGACGUACCUAUGUUUGGUAUGUAAUACCCUCCAUUAAGAGUAGAUAUUUUCUUAAAAUCGGUUAUUUUGUUUCCUAAUUAAUGUGAUUGAGCAAUUUAAGGUAAGGUUAAUUAAUUAGAUUUGAUAUUUAGAAAUUGAUCGUGAUUGAUUCUUUCACAUAAAGACAUUACUAAAAAUAACUUACACCAGCAUGGAAAGUUAUGAUCCGUUAAGAUUUUUUUUUAUUGUGUGAGAGGGUGACGCGAAACUAAACCGGUGGGGUGGGGGAGGGACGAAAAAAAAUCCAGCGAAAUAAAACGGGUGGGAGGUGGGAGGAAGUACCAAAGAAGUACCAAAAAAGACCCGGUGAGGUGGAACGAAAAUAAAACCCGAAACGCGACCUACCAACUGAGACAUUAGGAGUAAAGAUAUGUGGUAAGCAAUCCAAACAAUUCAAAAAAAAAUUCCAUCUAAGACUGCUCCACUUCAUAAAAUCAGCCUUAUUCCAGCCAAACCACUUUGGAGCAGUUUCACCCAGGAGUUUCAACUCCACCAAAGAUCAUUUUAUCUUGUUUGGUCUUCCUGCUGGCUCCAAUUUAAGAAUGGAAAAUUUUAAUGGGAAAAAAUCUAUUUGAUUGGGUGACGUGGGAAAAAACAAAGAGAUACCCAUUUACUGAUAACAGUGGUGAUAAUUUUCACUCAACACAAUGAGGACUCUUUGAACUAGAGUUUUAUUCGAACCCCUGAAGAGCUUCAUGAAAAAUAGGAAACUGUACCCCAUAUUUUAGUUUUUUUUUGGCGUAGUGAAACAUCGUGAAGCUACCCUUUUGGGGUUGCGUUUUUUUAAAGCAGAGCUGAAUUUUACNNNNNNNNNNNNNNNNNNNNNNNNNNNNNNNNNNNNNNNNNNNNNNNNNNNNNNNNNNNNNNNNNNNNNNNNNNNNNNNNNNNNNNNNNNNNNNNNNNNNNNNNNNNNNNNNNNNNNNNNNNNNNNNNNNNNNNNNNNNNNNNNNNNNNNNNNNNNNNNNNNNNNNNNNNNNNNNNNNNNNNNNNNNNNNNNNNNNNNNNNNNNNNNNNNNNNNNNNNNNNNNNNNNNNNNNNNNNNNNNNNNNNNNNNNNNNNNNNNNNNNNNNNNNNNNNNNNNNNNNNNNNNNNNNNNNNNNNNNNNNNNNNNNNNNNNNNNNNNNNNNNNNNNNNNNNNNNNNNNNNNNNNNNNNNNNNNNNNNNNNNNNNNNNNNNNNNNNNNNNNNNNNNNNNNNNNNNNNNNNNNNNNNNNAGCAAGUGAAGUGCUUCAAUGUUUUUUUUCUUACUGCACGUUUUUUUCUCAUGUACUUUAAUAUGUCAAAAUAUAUACAUGUGGACGACAUGUUCCCCGUGUGAGGCGCAUGACUGUGUGCGCUGUAAAGGUAAGCUGCAUGGUGAAGUUGCCCGCUUCGCGCGGAACCAUAUGUGUGUUUUGGCGACAUAACACACUUUCUGAGAGUAACAAGUACACCUAAUUUCCAUGUGGACUUUUUAUUUUAUUUUCCAGAAUACAAAUUGCGUUUGAAAAAAUAUCAUUGAAAUCAUCAACACGGGGGCUAGUUUUAAAUAGCUCAAUGAAAGUAAUACAACCGUGAAAAAAGUUUGUAAAUUGAGCGCUCGAUAGACAAGAUUUUUUUUUUAGAAAAUAGAUCUCAUCAAACAAAGCGACACAACAUCUUCCCAUCUUCUUUGUGGCAUGAAAAAACACCAAACUCCGUGGUGGCGACAAGUGGUGCUCGCCAACAGGGAUGUUUGGCAGUAACAUUUGAAAAGUACCCCUUUAUCCCCUUAACUAGUGAUUUCGCUUAAACUAAUAUAUAUUAGAACUAAUUUAAUAAUAUAAUAAAUUAAAUUAAAUAUUCAUGUACUUCUAAAAAAGUUCAUUUCUACAGGUUGUGUUCACAAAAUUUCAAAAAUAAUUCAUGUAAGUUAAUUUUCUUGUGUUCUUUAAAAAAUGGUCAUCCAUUCCAAAAUAUAUUCAUGUACUUAAAAAGAUUCCAACUUAAAAAUAUGUCGACACCUCUUAAAAAAUAUUCAUGUAACUUCUAAAAGUGUUAACAAAUUUUAAUGAAAUUUUCAUUAAAUGUUUAUUUACUUCUAUAAAGUGUUAAUGUGUUUAAAAAUUGUUUUUUUAUUUUUUAAAAAACACUUAUAUUUAUUAUAAAAAAGAAAAAUGAUGAUAAUCAUCAUAAUAAUAAAUAUAAAAAUGGAAAAUAAACAUAAAAAAUAGAAGGCAAUGCAAAUGGGUCUCGGCUAUGUAGGGCAUAGGUGGGCGAUUUGGCGACUAUAUCAGGUGAAUAUAGGCCUUGUACUCUGCAAUGUACAUGGUAUUUCUCUAGAAAAUGUUGUUAACAAAUAUUAUUGAUGAAUUUACCCUUUUCAAAAUUCUGAAGUGGGGUGUACCGAAGCAAGACCUAUUUCUGUUUUCUUCUGUUUCUUAAGCGUGCAUCUACUUCGUUCUCACAUUGGCAUCCUUUUGGCGACAGAAGGCUUACCGACGCAGCACUGCUUAAUUGCAUUGGUUCUCCAGUGACUGUCAAACUCAAAAUGCACGUCCCUGAUGCCUCAGAUUCUCCAACCUCUACUCAAAGUCCAUAAAUAAAAGCUGUUAUAUAAUGUGGAUUCCUGAGAUACUAGUACUGAACAUGACAUGGUCCUUGCAGUUACUCUAGAGACAGAGUUAUAAGCUAUGCUGUUUAUGCUAACGAUGGACCUCUGAAUCAAGUGCCACAAACUAGCUAGUCUUGCCCAAUUUACAUUCAGGUUCAGGUGUCCAUGCUUUGUAUGUCUUGUAACUCUGCAGUUUUCUAAUUCUCAAGCUCCCUCCAUGGACACAAGGGGGCUGCAACAAUGAACAGCACCGGAGUAUGGUCCCUUCCCCGGGAUGAAAUGUAUCCGGUGGACGAUGGAGUCACAAUGGAAAUUUCAUCUAUGAAACUACUACAUAUAGAUGGAUUCAGUGAAGGCAACAAUGUAAUGUGGUUUCAGUACUGCAACUCUGUUUUGCAUUCAGAUGGCAUUUGGUUUCCUAACAAAAUGGGUACAUGCAUGUUUCAACAGUGCUCAUGCUACACCAGAUAGAGAUGUAGCAGCAGCAAAUGCAGAGUUGCAUAUUUUGAUUUGGACGACGAAAGCUUGCAUUUCCAAGUAAUUAUCAGAAAACACUGGCCUGAGAAACCUGAUUCAACCAUAGUACGCACAUGACAGAAAUAUAGGAAGCAUUACUUGACUUCGUCAUCCAUUCAAGCUAGCAGACCACAAAUAACUGAUUUCAUCAUUCAUGCAAGAGCAAAUUGGACAGUACUACGAGGGAAACUGAUACAGGAGCAUAGGGUUCUAGAUUCCAGAAGCAACAUUUAACUGAAACUAAGACUCGAACCAAACUUUGAAUUCCCAGUUAAUCCAGCUAUAGAAUGCCACUUUGUUAUGUUUCCAACGCUUUAGUGGGGGCGCAGCUUCUCCUUGGGCCUGAUGUCAUUGCUGUGGCCGCACUUCUUCUUGCGGCAGUUGGCAGCCCUGAGGGGCAGGCGUGCAUAGCACCUGUAAUGCAAAAUAUUGGACAAGUUAGGAUAUAAUCUUCUGAACGACUAGUACUUAUUGUGAUAAGGCAAAUAGAGUAACGC
rnacentral:lncRNA from 1 species